rnacentral:lncRNA from 1 species
CAACAAUUGCAUUUAAAUGAUUUGUUAUUAUAUUAGAUGACAAAGGCAAUACCACUAUAUAUGUGUUGUAUAAUACAACCAUUAGCAACAAGGAGAUUUACAUGCUUUAAGUUGAGAAAAUCCAUUGGCAAUUCAAAUUACUUUAGUGUAAUGUCUCUUUGUCUCCAAUCAAACCUCAAUGGCUUCACCAAGAAAAAUCAAGGAGAAAAAUAUUUGUUGACCAAAGCUCUAACAAACAAGCUACAAACUUGGUGCUAAUCAAUAAAUAUUGUUGUAUACAUAUUGAUAACAAAUAUUGAAUUAUUGGAAGAAUAUUAGGUGUUGGUAGAAGUGGAGUGAAGGAAUGACAUAUUAUAAUGGAAUUUAGCAUUGUCAAGCAACAUCUUGGGGUAGAAAUAGCUAGAAUAUGGUGUAGAAAUACUAAGUUUCUAUAUUUGUCAGAAUCAAAAGUUUAGUGUUUUAUCAGACAAAAUUUUGAGUUAAUAAUACAUUAUUUAAGACAGCAUUGUUGUUAAAGGUUGCUAAUUAUUUAGAUACUCAUUACUUUCACAUAUUAAUCUUACCUAUUAAAAUGUAAUUUUGUUUUUGAAGUAAAUAUUUAGUUACGAACUUUGUUCUUUGAACAUUGAAUAAGCGAUUGAUUGCCAUUUCUUUGGCCAUCCCCACACCUGCUUUCUUGUAAAAAACAAGUGUCCAGAUAAAAUGGCUUUAAAUAUGAAAUUCCAAAUGCAUCAUUUGGACAUACAUGUAUAGCUGUGAAUGUGUUUGACAACCCUGCGCUCAUUUGGGAUAUGGUCAAGGAGAGGAAUGAGUUUUGAUUAUAAAUUUUUCUAAAAACAGGAUUCAAGGGCUCCUGAAGCAAGCUUCACAGAUCUUACAAUAUUUAUCAGCUUAGCAAAAUGCGUUUGAGCUUCAGGGCAGGUGCCACACCUAUCAGAAUCAAAGAUGAAGCUAUACUAACAGAACAAGUGCAAUGCUCAAUAGAAUUCCUUCAAAUAUGACCGCUCAAUCUAGUGAUCCACAAUACGAAGAAAAUUCAAGAAGGGAGUCAUGAUGAUUGCCAAAGCAUAUCUACCGACAGAAAUUUCCAACAGCACCAACAUAAAGAUACUUAACAAAACUCUGAAGAAAACGCUUUUUAAUGAAGGCCCAGUUCAUAAAAACAAAUGUACUGAGAUUGAAUUGGUUAGGAAUUAUUGACAAUGAGAGUGAGAUAGGUGAUGAAACAAGAGAAUGUGGAAUACAAAUGACACAUUUUGAGUGUUACUCUAUGGUCAGUGGCGAAGUUCUAGGAGUGACAAGAUGAUUACUUGUAGAUGGUGUACUUCGAAUACUAGAUACUGCCGCUGUGAAGGAUUGGAACACGGGAUGGAAGCUCCUGACCUGCAUGCUGCAAUCAAGGGUCCGGUCCUGCAGAGAACAAGGACCAAGAGUAGAACUUGGUGAAUAACCUCAGGAGAGAGUUGUGGGUGAUCUCUCAUUGCGGCUAACUAAUCCCAUGGUGCAGAAACUCCCAUGGGAGAAACUCCAACUUCAGGCGGCAUGCCCCCUGCUCGACCACUCGCCAUGGGCCUCAUUGCGGGCCUGUGGGCACGUCCCAUGGGAGGAAAUCCAACUUCAGGCGGCAUGCCCCCUGCUCGACCACUCGCCAUGGGCCUCAUUGCGGGCCUGUGGGCACCUCCCAUGCGAGGAACUCCAACUUGAGGCGGCAUGCUCCCUGCUCGACCACUUGCCAUGGGCCUCAUUGCGGGCCUGUGGACACCUCCCAUGGGAGAAACUCCAACUUGAGGCGGCAUGCUCCCUGCUCGACCACUCGCCAUGGGCCUCAUUGCGGGCCUGUGAGCACCUCCCACAGCCGGCUGCUGCGUUUGUCGCUGUGGCGUUGGUCCUAGGCCUACUCCUCUUCCUCUAUGUUUUCCAAUGAGUUGCACAUAUGGGGUGGCCAUGCGCUCCAAAUCCGCUGCUGUUAGCCAGAUAAGUCAACUUCAGUAAUUGUAGUAAUUUUCAGGCCUCUGUUGCGCGACUCAAGAUAUCAUGGGAAAGUCUGAUGCUGUCAAAAGGCCUGGAACAAUGAUCUCAGCCAGACUGCACCACAAAUUCUAGCUUAAGAACCUACGUGUCCAUUACGUUCAAGAACUGGUACAAAAAGGACUUACAAGUUGGUGCUUCGCGUUGAAUAUGCUCUCGCUCACCUCCUAUUUCCUUUAGCUGCUCCCGACUUUCAUCAAUAACGGCUUGAAAAAGAGGACCCAAAACAGGAGCUGCUAGAUGCUUGAGCUCCACGGAUUUGUCUUUGACCUGCUUCGAUGUGGUUCGAGAAACCUUGGCAAUCUCGACUGCCGCCGUUCGGGAUACACUAGCGAUCCCCUCUGCACCCUUCUUUACAAAAUCGAAUGCUUUGGAGGAUAGAGGCCUUUGAUCGCCUGGUCCUCGAUAGAUGCUUCCCGGCGACAAAGUUUUGAAUCCAGAUAUAUUAUGAAUUGCUACUUUGCUGUCCUCAUUAUCCUGGGCAUUAGAAGAAUAUUGAUCAACAAAAAGGUCACGUUGCACCAUGCCGUUGCGUUGUGAACCACGAGUACUCGUUUCAUGGGGUUCGUAAUAGACACCAUCAGUUUCAGAGCGAGGAGAACUGUACAUGGCAGCAACGUGGGUCCUAGGGUGAGGACGACGCGGUGUAAGACGUUUUGACGGCUGACCAAAAGCAUUCUGAGGAUUCUCGAAGUUUUGGGUGUCCCGUCCCAAACUAGUAUCCUGUAACCAAUUGCUAACACGAUCAAUACUAUGACUUUUCAAAGCGAGGCCAGGGUCAUCGUUACAAUUGCCAUAACCAGGAUCGGAAUAUGCAUCUAAAGAUUCUUGCCGGAGAUGAUCAUACUGCCGACGGACGCCCUUCUGAGCCUUUAACUUAGGGCCGGCAUCGACUUUGAUGUAUUCAUCCUCCUCACUGCUUGCAGCUCCAUCCACGAACAAGACAUCUCGAUGACCACCAGAGGCGGAACGAACUCGCCUAUGGCUAUAUUGUGGUCCAGUUGGACGUUCUAUUCUUACUUCCUUCUUCCUGUAACUGUAAGCUGAAUGCUCCGAUUCAAAAUUGGGACCACCCGUAUAGUAUUCAUCUUCAGGGGCGUCCACCGCAACUUCAUGGGUAGAAGUGAUUCGCAACCAGCUCCGCUCUUCGUUAACAACGUGCUUCACGUUUUCUUCGUCCAAGUUUUUGGAAAAACUACCGAACUCCCCCAUCCUCUGAAAACAUAGAAAGCAAUCCAUUAAAUUUCAAAACGUUUCGCAACACCCACAAGCAUCAUAAGAUUCAUUUAUUCAGUGAAAAGAACAAUAAAAGGCACCCAUUUGCAGGCAAUGCCAUAAGGCACUGCUACCAGCUGAAUCCAGAAACCGUAAGCUACACGAAGAAUUAGUCAAUCACACCAUCACACUACAAUGUCACUGCAGCUGCUGACCUUGAACCUUCAUCACGCGAUUAGUCUGCGAUUCAAGUAUUUCUUUCUCCUUCCACAUUCGCGAGUGGCAUUCUGAGCCCACACUGAUGCAUCAAUAGAGCGCUCAAAUCCGCCUUCAGCAGGUCAACGAAAGAGGAAGGAAACCUAAACAAGAGAAACGAUAAGAGGGACUCCGAAACAAUCUCCUCACAUCGCUGGAGCCCAAGCUAUCAUCCCGCCUGAAUAGAAGGGAUGGUCGAUUUUGACUAUUGCUGCUCCUAAUAUGCUACCGAUUACCGACAGCUACAAAAAAGUCCAAUAAACCACUAAACUUAGACCCAUCACAAUGCCCUCCGGUUUCCUGCACGAAAGAACUGAAUGAGCCCUAAUGCUCAGCUGCUGGGCAACAACCUGGAACCCACCCACCCGAAAAUCACACCAAUGAUACUGCUGCCCUGCGCACAUACAUGCUCGAGAGGCUCAUUGAGCACAAAUCGGUCACUUGCUAAACAACGGCCAUCCUUUAAACGCCAAAAAGGAAGGUUCACGUACCCAAUCUUGCACUUGUGAGUCUAUGCAUUCACACCCUCCAAUAUCUCCGCUACUCCUGAUCGAAUCAACACCAUACAACGAAACUCACCCAGUUUGUGAGCAAUUAUCAACCGACUCUUGCACUUAGCAAAGAGCGGGCUUGAGAGUUAGCAGCCAAAGUCAGCACGCAGAACUGGUGGACAAUGGCAGCAUCGUCCUAGCUAUUUCAGGAAUGAUGCCACUGCUCUCACAACCCACACAAAAAUUUCGAGAUUGUCCGAUGAUUCACGGCGGUUCUCGACAAACUCAACAGCCGGUUAGCGAAUGUGAAAAUGCUACGACUUUUCAGGGAGGGGUAGGAAACCCAGAGCACGGGUGAAAAGGGCGUCCAGAGUGCGACGUCGACCGAAGCUUUUGGAUACCAACCUCGGGAUGUCCGUUGGUUUUCAAAUUCUACAUUCUGCAUCCUUUGACUUUUACCAUGGAUCUCCUGUUAUCACCUGGUUCACAUUGAUGGUGUGACGGCCAAGAUUCGCACAGCUCGAAGCGGCAUGGUGAAGCAUCUGCGGGUCCGCCUGGUUGCCUGCGAUUCUACGAUUCUCCUCUUUAGCAGCACAAAUCGGUGACGAAGCAGAAGCUUUAAAAACACAAGCAUCAAACCCUAAUUGGGCUCGGCGACUUAAAAUCUGGCCGCUAUGGAAUCCAAGUAGCCUGGCUUAUCUAAAUUUACGUCAUGGAUCUCAAUGAUAUACAGUUAUAUGUGUUGUUUUUAGAUAAUCAAAAGCAAAUAAACAAAUCCCCCUGUCAGACCAUUGUAUAAUUUCAUUUAUAAAUGAAUGUUAUUCUGAACGUCGUUCAUGGGGAUUUUUUUAUUAAUAUGUUAUGUGUUAUUUUAAAAAAGUUGAUUUAGUUCAUGUGAAAAACACCUUUCACUAUUCACAAUCUGUCGUCAUUACCAGGCUUGAAUCCACCAUCUUGAAUUCUGUAGAUUGUAAGUUUUUCUCGGUAACAUUAUGAAAGGAUCGUUUCACAUCUUUUUGAUAAAGAAAUUGCAAUCUAAAUCCCUAAAUUUUUCCACUAAGUGGAUUCAGACUUGAGGUUUUUGGAUGUAACUGCACCUAUGAUGAUAUCUCAAAGUAUCACAUAAUAUUUUGAAAUAUCACUUGAUAAUUCAAAAUCACCCACAUGGUGAGGUAUAUGAUUUUUUUAAUCAAAAUAUCACAAAAGGGAUGCAUGAAAUAUCACAAACUAUAUGGCUUACGUCAACUCUCUACCCCUUUUGAUUCUAUGCUAACUUACCAAGCCUCUAUGCUUCCAAAAAUUUCAAACUCUAAAUUUCUUUCAUUCCAUACCACACCGCAACUUUGCCCUUCUUUUGUGCUCCCAUAACAACAAAUCCUAAAAAAUUUGGACUACAUACCACACGACAACCUCACGAUGUCUUAGUACUCCAAAAACAACAAAUCCUUCAUGACUUAGAAAUGUUGUUUACUUUCUCAAUUAUUGAAGAAUUCAAUGAAAUGUUUGAAGAAUAAUAGGAGGAGGUUUAAAACAUGUUUGAGAAGAAGUUAUUUGAGUUUGAUGAUGCGAAAGAACUUGUGGUAGUUGAUGGGACAAUCAAUUCCUACCAAAAGACUCAGCACACAAUGUGAGCUAGAUGAUAAUUCUUGGCUAUAAGUCUCCAACCACUGAAUAAUUGAUAAAUUAGGAGUUUUAUUAUUAUUUGGCAAAAACAUGGGUUACAAAUGAACAUUGCAUUGGGAUUCUAAAAGAUAAGUGAACUUUGCUUAAAGAAAUUUAUACCUAAUUCAUUUGUAAUAUGGAUAUAAAGUUUAUUGUCAACUAGAUUUUUUCAUGUUCAAUUUUUCAUAAUAUGUUAGCUAGUUAGGACAACAUGUGGACAAUUGAAUUUAUGAAGGCUAGCUGAAAACCAUCAAAGAAUUUUGGUGCUACGUCAAGGGCAGCGAUACGUUUUAAAAAAAAAAUAGAAUAAAGUAGUGGCAAAUAAUUAUGCAUUGGGUAUUUUAACAAAGCAUGAUUUAUAUUAGUUUAUUGCAACCAUAUUUAGGAUUUAUUGUCUUCAACUACUAAGAUUUUGAACAUAUAGUAUUCUUUCUAUAUUGAGCAAUUGAAAUUAAAAAUAUAUAUUUUAAAUCUCCUACAAUAUUAGUUGUCUUUGUAUUAUUGUGUAAUAAAUUUUAUAAUUCUAAGGCUUCUAGAACUGUAAAAAAUAGAGUACAUUGAAAAACAAGGGAAUGGACAACUAGACCUUAUCUAUUUCUAUAUGGCCAAUAUAUCUUGUAUAUUAUAUCUAUAUAUAAGAAUAUUCUAUAUUAAAAUUAAUGUAUAAAAUUAAUAUAAAAGGAUAUGGAUUAAAAGUGUUGAAAGAAGUAAUUUAUUGGUAUUUAGUGAUUUUAAUAUGAAAGAAGUGUUUGUAGUAGACCAAAAUUGUGGAUGUAAUAUAGUAGGAUUUAAAAUUCAUAAGGUGUUUGGAGGAUUAUAUCAACACACUCCUCUCCCCCCCUUCCUCUCCUCUCCUCUCAACUCAACACCUCUUUAUAUUAUCAAGUGUUGUAGCUUAUAUCUAAAUUUUUUAUUGAUUAGCAAACAUGGAAAUUAUAAAAUGCCUUUAAUUAUAAAAGAGUUUUUAGUUGUGAGAAAUUACUUUGUCUUUUACUUAUGUAAUUUAGUUUUGAUCGUAGUUACAGAAUUGAUUAACAUCCUUUAACAUAAGUGGAGUUGAUUCUUCUCAUCUUCUAGCUUCUAUCCAUCAUUUUUCAUCAGAUUUGUAAGACAAUGUCCUUUAAUACUUUUUCUUGACUUGUAGAUUUUGUAUGGCAUUGUGAACCAAGGGACAUCUCCCAUCUUGUGGAUUCUAUGUAAUGUUGUGAAAUAAAAAACAAUGUGACAAAGUGUAUAUGCAAAUACAAGAGCUUGCUUGAUGUACCUCCAUUAUAAUACAAUAUUCCUAUGUCUUUGGUUAGAGUGAGUUCUUCAUCCAACUAAGAUCAUUUGUCAUUGGUCAAUGCAUCAAAUUCUCAAGAAAGUCUAAAUAGCUCCAACUCCAUGUCAAAAGAGAAUUCAAAUAGUACUAACUUUGUAUCAAUAACUUAAUUGCAUUUUAUAGUGACAAAGUUUUAUGCAAUUCAAAAAGGAUGGUUUUUAGGAAUAUAUCUCAAUUGGAAGGAUUGCAUUCCUUAAGUGUUUGGCUAUAUCGGAGCAAAAUUUCAGCUUUUCAAAAAACUUGCCAAUGCAAAGUUAUUUCUAGAGCCAAGCAAGACAAUUCAACCCUAGCCACAAAGGUGUUUUUUUUUUUUUUUUUUUUUUUUUUUGCUGAGUUUUGGAUUGUAUGCAAGAAAGGUCCUAAGUGUUUUUAGUUUUAUAAGAUUGAUUCUUUUGUAAGAUUGGCUAUUUUUUAAAUAAAAUAUGACACUUUUGAAUAACUAGAAAAUUAAUACAAAAUAAAAUGUGUUAUUCCAAUGUACAUAACAAAAUCUAUUGAGUUUCACUAUCUUGAACAAUAGUUUACAAGGAACGUGUUCUUUAAAUUUUAAGGCCACCUUAAUAUAUUACAUCUAAAUCUACCAUAAAACCUUACACCUAAGGCUAUUAUAAAAUCUUGAAUAUAAGGCCAACCUAAAAUAGAAUAUCUGAGCACCAUAGUAGAGGCCACCUUAAAACCUUGCACAUGUUUCUCCCUUGUCUCUAUCCAUUUCACAAACAUUCUUUAAAUCUCUCUAUCUUAAUUCCAUGUACUAAAAUUUAGACCAAUGUAUCAUAUUUCAAGCUUGACAAUGGUGCAACCUUGUAGUAUAAAUCAUAAAAUUUAAAACAUAAAUCAAUAAAUACAAUUAUAAACUUGCAAACCAAUAUUUUGUUCACAUGUUUUUUUAAAAGAACUAAGAUCUAUUUAAUUUCUUAUAUAUUUUUUCUUUGAAUUAACUUGGACUAGAUAAGAUCAAAGAGCUUGUCUUUUCUAUUGCAUUUUCAAAUCACCUCUUUCUUAUCCUAUUCUACAACCAAUUUCUCUCAUUUAAAUGUCAUCUUAUCUUUUUUCAGCCUCUCCUUCAUUUUGAGUUCUUUUUGUAACCUAACCUUGAUUCUCUUACUUUCUUGUUUUAAUAAAGUCAAGUACUCUAUUAUUACGAUAAUUUUUUGUCGUAAUCACUCCACAAACGUAUUAGCUAUUGAAUAGAACUUGUUUGGAGAUUUACCUUUAGACUUUGAAACUUGUGAUAGGUGACCCUUCUUUUUUGGGAUGAUGAUAGUGAUGUUGCUAAGUGAUGUAUGUUGCAUAGAAGGCAAUGUUGGUGAAAUGGAUAAGAAUAUGGAAAAAAUAGAAGUGAACAAAAAAUUAUGCUCUUUCUUAUACACUUCCUUUAAUUCAUCAAAUUUUUCUUGUAAUAAAACCUAUUGAGUAUCUUAGAAGAGCAAUUCUUUGAGCAAUAGAUUCAAAUUUGGCAAUUCAUCUAGUGAAUUGGUCAUUGGCACUACCAUAGAGUUUUGUAAUGGCAUUAUAUCCAUUAUUGUAGUAUAAUCCUUGUAGAAUGGAGUUAUAUUUGGCCUUGUACUAUACAAAGCAUGCAUCAUGUCAAAGAGUAGACAAUUGUCCUCCAACUUCACAGCCAUCAUAAGUAUACCUUGUUUCUAAUCCUUAUCAUUGAUGCUAAUGCUUGUAUCCUUUGACCAUUUAUACACGGCUACAAAUUUGGCUUUGAAAGUAUGCAAUCAACCUAACAUAUUUGUAGUAGAAAGGUUGAAUUUGCCCUUUGAUGACUUGUUCACAUAGGCAACUAGCUGUACCAAAGCUUAUUCCUACUCAUUUGCUUCUUGCAUACCUCUGUCUUAUUAGAAUUGUAUAAUUUUUUGAAAUUUGAUGGAUUUUCCAACCAAUUGACAAUAGCAAUAUAUUCAUUUAUACAAAAAUGACCUCUUUUAUAAGUGUUUAUAGGAUUUGGGACCUUCUAGGGAGGUAUAAUGUUUAAUUCAAAAGAGUGAAAAGGUUUGUUCUUAAAUGUUAAGUCAGCAUGUUAGGCCGGCUUCAUAUUGCUUAAUAUGUUAUCAAGAUACCAAGUAAUGCUUCAAAAACUUGAAGGGGGUAUUCAAGUCUGAAUGGUGAUAUUUGAGGAGAUAAUAUUUUUGAAUGAUCAAUGAUAUUUGGGUUUCCAAAAACCAAAAACACAUGAUAUCUGGUUGCCCAAAAACAUUAAGUCUGGAUCCCCUUAAUGUAAAAUAUUUCCCAACUGGAUGGGAAAUGUUUUACUCUGGAUUCAAAUAAAGUAAUUAAUACUUUGUAAAUUUAUGAAAAGUUCUUGCAAUAAUGCUGGUAGUUUAUAAAAAUUUGUUUUAAUUAGCCUAAAUUAUGUUGAAUUUCUAAUUUCAAUCUCACAAACUCAAAAUCAAUCAUAAUACCCAUUAUCGUAUUUUCCAAAACAAGCAAAAAGAAAUUAUUAAAAUUAUGGAUAAAUGUAAACAAUUCAUUACAAGUUGGAUGGCGUUGCAAAUCCGUGACUAUAUCAAUGCUCGUCACCAUCUGUGCUCAGAACUCAAUGCGUGCCAGAUGAAUGCUGGACAAUGCCACCUGAAUCGGGCCCGAGAAGUUCUAGAUCUCUCUGUUCAGAAGUCUCUGGAAAACUCUAGAAUUCUCAAGACCUGGGUGGCGGGGGUCUUGGGAUUUCUAGGGGGUUCUAGACUUGCCUAUGAGUCGCUUUAUUAAUUCUCCAGCAGUUUGUGGAAAAUGCAGCAAGUACUCGCGGUUUUUGCAGGACAUCGGUCCAACUUGAAGUUGUCACAAAUUUCUUCUCUGCAGUUGAUUGUAGACUGAUUAUCUAGGCUUCUACUCGUGAUUAACCAUCGGAAAGGUUUGAGCAGCUGUUUAGAAUUUUUUGGCAAACAAGGAGACAGAGUGUGAUACUGAGCAUCUCCAGUGCUUGGUUUGAAGAGUGUUCCAAGAGUUUCGUGGACCGGAUCGAGGAAAAAUGGAUUUCCCUCUGUUUCAGAUUUUGAGCUUCCCUGACGAGCUGGAGAAAUCGUUGAACCCGCAGUCGCAAAAAAUAGUGCGCGACAAAAUUAUUUCAGUGGUUUAUCUUUAUAACUGUGAGACUUAUUUUAAGCUCGGAAGGAAGACAGAUUGUGUUCCACAAUAAUCCGAGACUCCAUGUACGAGACUGGAGUGCUAAUUGAUAGAAAAUGCAUCUUUCUGAGCAUAUAUGAAGUUUCAACACAUGGUUAGAAGCAAUCCUGGACAUCAUCUCUUGGUAUGACUUGUUGUUUGCGACUUAGUGUUCCCUAGAUCAGAGGAACUGAUACGAUAUGCGGGUUGUGCAGGUACAAAUGGAGAAUGAUAAUGUCCUCGUCAUUGGUGGCACACGAAAACGUGAGGAGACAGAUCCUCAAGUGAAAUGUAUCCGAAUGGAGCGAAACUCCGGCACAUUUAUGCGCAAAUUCACGCUUCCUCAGAAUUCUAAUUUGGACAAGAUCACUGCUUCCUGCGUUGAUGGCGUGCUCACACUUAUAGUUGCUAAGAUUCCUCCACCAGAACCUGCAAAGCCAAGGACUAUUGAGGUGACCACGGGAAGAAAUUAAAACCAGAAUAUGAAGUCUCGUUGGUGACGUCACAUAGGGCGUUUAUUUGCCUCAUUAUCGUCUCAUGGCGCAGUUUAGAAACGAUAUCACAGACCUGUCUGAAGACCAAGCUCUCUUCGAAUGCCAAAUCAUGUCGGUCUUGUCAUGUCACAAGCAUAAUCCACCCAACAUGGCAACAAAGUAAUUUACCUUGUCGUUGCCUACCUGUCUGAAGGUGAACAAAAUGUCGACAAAUAUAGUAAGAGACUAUAAUUUGGGUUCACAGGGAGAAGGUAAAUUAGUUCAUGUGUGGAGGGGCACUUGCUUCUGCCAUUGCGAGUUGAUGCAUCUCUGUUAGAGAGUCUGAAAGAUCCUCACAGUGGAGCUCGCCAGGGUCCCGCAGCCCGCAGAGCAGGGGGGCCACGAGUACCAGCCACCCUCCCCUGCGCACCACUCCCAUGGGGAAUCAAUUUUGAAUCCUUGUUUAUUAAAUAUCCGUGUUGAAGAAAAAAUUGACGAGUUAAUUUUUUGAGUUGUAGAAGUUCUUCCUGGAAACAAAAGUGUCAUGUACUUUCAGUGCUGUUAUAUACGAAAAAUAUUCUUUGAAGCAAGAGUGAUGGUUGAAAAUCAUAACAAAUGGUUGUCUCAAAACGUUAUAACAUGGUCAAAAAGUAUUUUUGCAAAGCUUUCUUAUGCAACGUAACAUAAGAAAGUUUAUCUAUGAGCUCUUAAGACAAGAUUGGGAAGCCAAAUAAAUAAAUAAAAUAAAGCUCUGAGCUAUACAUGACAUACUUGAGCAGAUUUUACUAAGUAGUGGUGGUGAUAAUAAUGGCUGUUAAAGGAAUUUGGGGGGUAUACUAAAGAGAAUUGAAGGAUUUGGGAUUGAGACGCAAGCCCUUGAACAAACUUCAGCACACUCUGUAUAGAGUGUGGAUCAGUGUGGGCCAAAUGCGGAAGGCAACCCAACUGAGGAGAUGUAAAAUGUUUCCUAAGUGGAAACAUACUUUGGUAAGAGUUGUGAAUCGUUCAAACCUGCCCGCCCUCCAACCUGCUCCUCCCCCGGCUGGUUUCCCUACGUUCCCUCCCUUCGUUCCCAUAUUACAGAUCGGCGGUUGCGAUUGAAUCUGCGCGGCAACCGAGAUCCGACGGCCCACGAUGGCGGAGCCAGUCGAUUGAGUUCGGAGGUUUCGAGGACACAGUUCUACGAGGGAGGCGGCGUGACAAUAUGCACAUUAAUUGCGCUUGUGAGGGUGACUAAGGAGAUCGAUAGCACUACCAGUUCCUAAGCAACGCAGGUUGACUUGCAAUAUUGCUUGCGAAGGCAGCACAAUCCUCUAGUCAAAACACACAGAAUAUCAGCUUAUUUAUGAACGUUGACUUUCAACACUAGUUUGGGUAUGUUUGCAAGCGUUGAGUAACAUAGACACAUUAUGACAGGUUGCUACGCGUGAACAGACUCUCAAACAACAGCAAGUUUGAAUGAAGUGAGAUCAAACAAAACACUGAGAAAAUUCGUUAGAAACUAGAUGAUAUUUUCAUUCGGCUCAUAAUUAACCUUGAAAAAAAACUCGGUGAACGAUUCCGAGGCUUCACCGAUGACUGCAAACACAAUUAAAUAAUAGGACUGACAGCAUCAAAACAAAGUUGACAUCACUCUAACUGGAUGGCUGCUUUGUAGGAUUUUCCCUGUAGAUGGUUCACACCGAAGCAGCAAGAUACAGUAUCAAGGGCAUGUAAUAAAGCGAAGGGAAAACGUCACAUUCCAAAGUUGCGCUGAGGAAGCAAUAACCAAUGUCGGCUAUACCCAUACACAGGCGAACGGUCACUGUGGUGCCAGCCAGUUUUCCGCCACCAAGCUCCCAUGCAGCACUUCAAAAGUUCACGCUCAGUGUCUAAGAUCAAGGAAGCGAUGCGAUAGCCCAAUUGAGCAAAAAUGUUAUCUGCUCCAACUCUAAUUGGUAGGGAAAAUGACUUGAUAUCAUCAGUGGCUCCUGUCAGCAGACUCCUCUCAUCCAGCUUGUGUUCUUGAUGAUGGUUCAUGCAAGGUGCUCCAGAUUCCGACUAUGGAGACAUUCUCGUCCAUCAUAACGAUGAGUGUGCAACGUCAUUGAAGAUUUUGCAGCGUGGAUUCAAGGUGUAGCCAAUAGGAUGCUCAACGAAGCAUGAUUGGCAAUGGGAUUUGCUGUAGGGACGUUAUGGAUAUCAUUACGGUAGAAUUGAUUGCUGGAGAGCUCUAUUUGUUUGGGAACGUAGUUCAGGUGGAAAUGCUGUUGAGAAAAAGAGUGUAUUCCUGCUUGUUUUCGUGAACAUGAACGUUCAGGAUUCUGCAGUGUUGUGUAUUGUGCAUCUUUAAUUUGAGCUACAAAUCAGUAAUUGAAAUAACGUUUAUUCCUAAUUGUGCGGCUCAUCAUGGUGGCAAGGUAUGCAAGCUGUGUAAUUGGAUACUUGGAGCCGUUUUGGCAGCAGAGAUUUUCAUAAAUGCAUUUAGUUCUGGAUCUAUAGUACAAGGCUUUUUCCUGACAUAGUUAAAUAUAUAACCAAUUAAAUCUCAUAAGAUUUUGCAUAAUAUUAUCAUGUGAUAUAAGAAAAAAAAAAUUAAACAUAUUACUGGGAUUGGGAAGAAAAAUUAUAAUAAAAUUAAGAAUCGAUAUCUUUAUGAAGAUUGAAAAACAAAAACAAGAUACAUCAAAAAAUAUGACAACAGUCAGGCACCAUAUUCUAAGGGAUUUGAUGUGAUGACUAAAAAUACCAAAAAUUAUUUUGAUAUAAUCAAGAAAGUUAAAUAAUGAUGUCAUAAAUUAGAAGACGAACAAAAACCCAUGCCAAACAUUAAAAUAGAUAGAAGAGAUAAAGUAGAAAAUUGUGGCAAUGACAAUUUCAUGGUGAGCAAACAAACUUUAUACAAAUGCAUUCAAAGGAAAUCAUUCUUUGAUCCAGACUUUGUAAAAUGUUGUGCAUCUGAAAUUUAAAGUUAGAGCAUGAAGAGUACAAGGUUGUUGUCUAGGGCUCAAUGUUAUUUACUGGAUUAUACUAACUUUAAGAAUUCAAUCAGAAGGGUGUACAUCAUGAAGCUCGAUGACGGGCUUUCAGCACAUGAAACAGAAUUCCCAAACACCAUCGCCGAAUAAAUACAAUCCACACAAACUAAGGCUACAGACUGCCCCAAUAAGCUUGUCUAGGUAUACGGUGCAGGAGAGAGAGGGCUCACCCCAUGUACAAAUCUAUAAUAUACCAAUGUAAGACACCUUAGUCAAAAACAACCCCUACUUGUUGCCAACAUGAUACAAUUUGAUUCUUAUAGAUCAUAGAACAUGAGGUUAAAGGCUCUGUCGGUGUGCUCCCAAUGCAGAAACGGCUGUAACAAUUACCACCGACUAACAGAUUUUAUCUAAGAUCAACGUUACCAAAAAAGAAAUUUGUGCGAGGAACGAGCAUGCAAAAGAACAUCAACAUCGGUGUCUGUCGGUUCAAUCAUAACCCGUGAAUCAGUCGACCGGGAUUGAAGGAACCGCCAGCUGAAGCCACUGCAGCAGGAUUCACCACUUUGAAAAAGAAAAGAGGUUUCGAGCUUUCACCCAACGAAGGCUCUCUCCGUUGCCACCAUAGAUUAGAUUUCAUUGUUUUGUGUGCCUUAUACAGGAAGCAUUCAACUCUGCAAUCAUAUGGCCAAAAAUUAACAGCAGACUAAAAUCGGACACGAAAAUAUACUCCAACUGUCUUAUUGUGCUGAAAGAAAGUUGAGAGAACAGGUCUGGCGGUGGAACUUUGUCUCUGCCAACAAGACAAUCAAUCACUCUUGAAUGAAAUAUUGCUAACAUACCAGUAUAAGGUCAAGGCCAUACCUGUGCCGUAUUCCCCACCGAAGGCAGCAUUUCCAUUUGCUGGAUUCUGCGUUGCACAUUACGUUCUUGACAACAUUCCAACACCAACCUAAUAAACGUGCCCAAUCCAAGUACCACGAGAACUCCUAUACAGGGAUCAUCACCACACUAGGGUUAAGCUACAACGUCCAACAAUGGGCAUAAAUGGUAGAGUGUGGACAAAUGGUCACGAGGUUAUAUGCGCGCGGAGAAUGGAAGCAAGGUCGAGCCGAACCCCCGAGAUAGACAAAGGUGAAGAACAAGGAGGAAAAAAAUGUCUUACCAAAGAUGAAACCUAUCGGAAUUGCAGCGUAUCCAAUUGUAGAUUUGUUGAUGGAAUCCACGAAGAGGUAAGUCAUGAAUGCAAGAACGCCCAACCAUAAAACUAGAACCAACGGAUGCCUCCUCACAACUGUAAGAAGCACGGGUCGGUUUAACAUCAGUCCACUCUCAAGUCCCGCUUGGCUGCUUCCUCCCGCAUGCGAUGACAUCGGAGUUUGCCCGCCAAUGGCAGACUGUCCUCCAAGUCGCCACACCCAGAAAUGCGGCUGUUGCAAAUAAAAGCCACAUUUCAGCAAUUUAGCAUUCAAUCAAUUCACAAAAAUGAAAUACAAAGGCAAUCAUGAUCAUAAGAAAGAACCAAUACUUUCAUGCAAUCACGGUCAAUGGAAGUUCCACGUACCGCAGGUGUUGUCCCUGGCGCUGGAAUGUUUUCCGCAACACACCUAGAAAUGUCAAAAUAAAAUCGCAGAAGGCAUUAGUGACAUCAGAACUCUUAACAAAAUGAUUUUUCUUUUUCUUGUCAGACUCGCUUAACUCUGUAGGACGGCCGUGACUAAGAACAUUUCCAUAUCAGAUAAUAGCGGUAGAAAGUAUUGGAACUCACUGGCAAACCUCGCACUUAUUAGUCCCUUUAUUCUUAAACCAUGUCUCGAUGCAUGAUUUGUGCGACUUCGCCAUCUCUCCUCGACACGCGCAUCCCAGCUCAAUGAGCGGCUCCUCCGAUCGCUGCUGACAAAUUCUAGUCACGCACAGAAUUCAACAUAAAUAUCAGUCACACUAUCCCGAGAUAAGGACCAGGUUAAUAACCUAAAUCUCUUUCUCCAGAACAUAGUCGCAGAGGUCUCCACAAGUCAUCAGUUACCUGCAGUGCUCUGCGGCACUAUCUGUGCUCCACGAACUGAUGGUGCGCCCAGGCCCGGAUGCAAAGACGAAUGUUCGCACCGUCUCCAGGUCCACACUGCUGGCUAAUUGCGCAUCCGGAAUGACCACCGCCGAGUGACCGAGGUCCGCUGGGGUAUUACGACGGGACAAAGCAACCACAGCAUCGCUGCUCGCCCCCAUGACUCUCGGUGGAAGCCACGCUUGUCUGCUUUGUGCUAUCGCAUCACUGCUUGUCCUGUAAACUCCCGAAGGCUCCGAUUGUCGGCUUUGCGCAACGGCAUCGCUGCUCGUCCUGAAUAUACCCCGACGUUCAGGUUGUGGCCUUGCCACAGGCUUUGGGAGAAACAGCGGCCUUGCAGUCACAGCGUCCUGGUCAUGAUUCUCUUCUGCUAAGUUCGAUUGCUCUCGGUGAUCUGUGGAGCUUCCGAUGCCAAUAUGCGAGAGCUUCUCCAAGGGAUCAUAAUGCUCAGGCAACCUCUCUUCGGGCACACGAUCAAUCACAAAGCCAGUUCCGCCUUCAUGCUGCGACAACCCAGUGAAUCUAGAAGUCUGGCCGAUCUCGGAGCGGCGACGGGCUCGCACUAAGCCCUCAUCUGUGCGCGUACGCGCAAGCGGCAGAGCGGGGCCACCGCGCGGCUGCUGGUGCGUCACUAACAAGGAAGAAUCUACCGACCGCGCUGGUCGAAGCGACACAUGCAAUUGCUCUUCGAAAUCAUCUUCACCCACCUGCGCCUUAACCCCCUUGAUGAGGGAAUUGAACCGCUGCAGCAUGGUGCCUACAUGCUUUCCUAACAGAAACUACGCGAUAACGACGACGACGACAGUGCCCAUCUCAGUGCCCACAGAUUGAAACCCCUCACAAAGUUUUGUUUUUUCCCCUAUCUAAAUUAUGACACUCUGUCUGCAAACAGGGAAACUCCAGUCUAUGCAGGGAGAACGAAGACCAUAUUUCGAUUCCCUGCUGUAAGCAACCCGAAAUCAAUUACGUACAACACAAAAACAAGGAUCCUGCCUGUAUGAUCACAACCACUCCAAUCCCUCAACUAAUCGCUGUCGAUUUCAAUGUUAACAGUAAAGCGACACCGGGCCACUUUUGGGGUCACAAUGAGCAGCGUGAGAUAUGGGGUCAGGUUAUAGACUAAAAAACACAGCGAAGGCAGGUGCUGCGGUGUUAUCUCACAAGGUUGGCAGGGAUUGUAGUGUGGCCCACGACGAGUUGGGUUUCUCGUGGGAGGCUGAGCUAACACCGCUAGACUCUCACUUUGCGAAGCAAUGCAUUUCCUUUGUCGAUAUGCGGUUGAUUGCCAGCGAUGCGGAUGCUGCUACGUGGAGGCCAUCAUUGCUGCCAACUUUAAAACCAUCACACACAGCUGUCUUUCACGCCGGAGUUCAAUGGCAUAAAUACUAAAUAAAACUUUUUGUAGGUCCAUGAUCUUAACAGCCACAAAACUGGUUUAAAAUGAUGACGCACCCCCCAAAUGAUGAAGUUGACUCCCUCCACAAUUACUCCGUUUACCUUUGAACCCUACUUUAGCAAUCCCUCGAUCGACGAUGCCGUGUUGCGAAAAUCGGCUUCUAGUGGCUUUUGUGUUUACCAAACUGCUUCCUGUCCAGGUGCCUUAAAAAAUGCAUCUCCUCUUUAACCAACACUGUUGUAUUUGACUAUUGUAUAAAACUCAAUAGUAGGCGGUGACAACAGUUGCGGAUGGGAGGAAUUUGCACCAGAGAAAACUACUGACCCCUCCGUGUUAAAGAUGGUGAUUCUUUUUAUGCAAUAACGUGUACGCUUGGAUUGAAGUGUGCACAGGUUUGGGGGACUUGCAUCCAUACCAUGGUCCAAGUUUUUCACACGAACUUUAAAGAAAAUCUACCAAGAGGUGUGAAGUGGUGUGAAGGUUGAUGGGUAGUUUUGGCACUGGGUUCCAUCUCAAUGGAACUUUUUUAAUGAAUGGGAAAAAGUGACUUCCUCCUUGUUUUGAUAGACAUUAAAAAUUUGGUACAUUCAUCUUUUGCAAUAACAUCUCAUUUUUAUUUUAUUUUAUUUUCUUACACAACCUUGUUCUUUUAUUAUUCUCACAAAUUUUGAUUUUGCAACAUUGAGUUAAUUUUAUCAAAAAACAUGAAUAAUAUUUAGGAUAAUUUCUUUUAGGGUAAAUGAUAUAUCAAACAAAAUGAAAGCAAUGAAGAAUUCAAUACAUACUCACCACCAUAAAGCAUAUUAUUCUUAUAAUGUAUUUUUGUAGUGCUGCUGGUGCACUAACUGAUUACAAAAAGCACUGAGAAAGUUUUGAAGAACUGCAAAAUAUUGUUUAAGAGUUGAAAAUUCACAUUCCAACUCAUUUUGCGUUUCAAGUCCACCAAUCAAAUGGCUAAAAACCUUAGAAUUGUCAAUGUACAAAAAUAAAUAUAUAAAUAAUACUUGCUAAUUUUUAAUUUCUUUUAGAUUCCUUGCACUGAAAGGCAUUUUAGCACCACAACACAACUUUUGGUCCACAUUCCACCAAAAUGAAAAACACAAAAUACAGCUUCUUUUAUCUUUGAUUUUUGAAAAAUACUCAUGUAGAAAUUACAGCAAAAUAUCAUCUAUUUGAGAUGAUUCUCGAAUUUUAUCACACCAAUAACAAUAGAUAUAAAAUCAAAUUAAAAGUUGUUUUCUUGAAACUAAAUAUUAAAAUAUUCAUGUCAAUUUUGCAAGUUAAAAUAAAAUAUAAUAAAAAUGUAAAUAAAAUCAUAAUUUUAUGUAAUACUUCUUACAUCUUAUUAAAUAUAAAUUUAUUUAAAACAAUUAUUUUUUUACUAUCUAUAUUUAUUUUAAAUUAUUUAUUUAAAAAUAUACUUGAAAUAGUUUAUGUAUAUACAUUUGCAUAAAUAUUUAUUUUUUUAUCGAAAAGUAAUAAAAAUUAAGAAAUAAAAAAACACAUAAAAUAGACAUUCAAUAGUCAAGAUUGCAUUCUUUUCUAAGUUUAAUUAAGUAAAAAAAUGAAUUGAAUUCAUAAGAGAUACAUCUAAAGAAAAACUUUAAAUAAUUUUUUAAAAAAACUACCGUUAAUAAGAUUGGUGUUUUAUUUUUAUUUUUUGUUAUUUUUAGAACUAAUUCAUAUUGAAAAAAUUAAAAUUACAAAAGAAAAAGGUAGUUACUCAUUUAAAAAAAAGUUUAUAUAGCUUAAAUAUUAGACUUUAUAUUAAGAGAAUUUAUUAAGAUACUUUUAGUUUAUUAGUUUAAUUUUUUUGAUAAACUUAGUUUUAUUUUUAAGUAAUAAUAAUUAUUUUAUAAUAAUAAAAACUUAAAAUAAAAAAUCAUUCAAUUCGAAAGUAAACUGAGACAAAUCAAAUUAUUAAAUAUAAUUAUAAAACCAUGAUAAAGUGAUAAUAAAAGAAUUAUUUGAAGUUUUGAUAAAAAAAAAAAUAUAUUUUUUAUCAAGUUAAAAUGACUAAUAAUAAAUAUAUUAUAAUAAAUAAAUAUAAAAUAUAUAAAAAUUUAUUUUAUUUAAAUAAAAUAUCAUAUAUACAUAUAUACUUAAAAAUUUUAUUGGGUAAUACAAGUUAUCAAAUUAUAGAAUUUUUUUUUGAAUUUGAUAGAAUAAUUAUCCAAUAAAAUUAAUAUAUUAAUCUUAGAGAGUUAGGAUUAUAUAUAUAUAUAUAUAUAUUUUAGUAGUAGUAAAGACUUGAAUUUUAUUGGAUAAUUAUUCUAUAUAUAUAUAUAUUCAUAUUUGAUAGAAUAAUUAUCCAAUAAAAUGAAUUUUCUAUUGUAAUCUAUUCUAAUAAUUAAAUUGCUUGCCAAGUUUUCAUUUCUAGGCAAUACAACGUCUUUAAGGUACUCAGUCCUGUCAAUAAUGAACAUGUAGAAACUUAAGCUUUGCCAAUAUAAUUGAGUCAAUUCUACGACAAGAAAAAAAUUAUUUUAUUUUUAGCUUAAAUAAAUAUUUAACCUUGUAGAAGUACCAUCUCACAAGAAAAUUAGUAGCAUCUUUGCCAAGAGAUAUUCAUUUAUGAACACCAAUCUUACUAAGUCUAGUACCAAAAAACAACACAAUAUUGCCAAUCUAUAACUUGAUGAAAUAUUAAUACUUUGGAACUCUAAUGCAAGACAUGUUUCAUAAGUAUUUUAAUUGAUUUGAUGAAGAAAAAUAUCAAAUUUCUUUCUAUAUCACUAGAUCAAGCGCAACAAGUCACAUUAUUUCUAAAAUAGAAGUAACAAGUACCUCAACUUUUAUUGUGACUACAACUAAAAGACUUCAAUGACUAGCCUUAUUUGUUUUGCAAAUGGCUAAAAAGCUUGAAUAAAAAGUAAUGGUAGAUGAUUGUCAUAUUUAAGGAAAUACGUUGGUAUAUAACAUUGAUUAUUUCUUUAUUUUACAAAAUAUGUUUUUUUAUAGCAUUGUUGAAAUUAUCUUCACUAAUGUAGACAUAUGUAUGUUGCCUCAAAAUAUAACUUCAAAAAUGGAACACAUGGAUGUUGGCAUCAUUGCUACUUUUAAUUACUUGUAUUAUUAUUUCUAAUUGCAACAUAGAAUUGAGACAAGCUUGACGAGUGCAACUUACACAAAGUUGAUCAACUCACUAUAUUAAAAUGAAACAAAGCCACAUGAAAUAAUAGCUUUGCAAUCACUAUUGUCAAUUAUUUUUUGCACAUUAGAUUGUAUGACAAUAAAAAAAAUAAAUAGAUGAUAUGGUAGAAACUGCUUGCUUAGAUUAACCAAUAUUGCAAAUGAACAAGCUUAAAGAAGGCAAUUUGAUAGCAAACUAUACACUUUGCAUAAAAAAUCCUAUAUAAAUUAAUGCCUUAUUUAAUAUUAUUAAAGUUAUAUUUUUUUAUUACUUCAAUUUUAAUUUUUUAAAUAGAUAGAUAACUAGAUAGGUAUAUAGCUAGAUAAAUAGAUAUAUGAAAUUUGCAAUAAAUAUAUGUAUUAUUCUUAAGAAACUAAUUAUAAAAAUAAAAACCAUAAACAAUUAAUAUUUAUAUAUCUUGUAUAUAUUAAAUUUAUUUCUUUGCUUUUAACUUAACUUGUGUUGGAUUUAUACAAAUAUGAUGUAGCUCAAAUUUUCAUGUUUUAAUUGCUAAGUUUUAACCAUAUAACUUUAAAACUAUCAUACAUGUAUAUUUGAGGCAUAUUAUUAAAUUUAUAGUAAAUAAAUUUUUUUAUCCUUUUAUAUAAAAUUUAUAUUUUAUAAGUAAUAUUAUUAAAACCAUCAAUAGAUUUUUGAGAAUAUAUUAAUAUUAUGCCACAUCUAAAUACAUUUAACAUCAAUAAUACUAUAUAAAUACAUAUGCAUGGUCUUCAUAUUUUUAAUUCGUCAUUUUGGAAUUUUAUUUUUAUAAUAUUUAUGAAAUAUAAAUUAACCUUUAAUUGCUAUACAUAGUUUAUUAAGAUAAAAAUAUGAUUGUAUUUAUUUUAUGACACAAUUUUGUUAUAUAAUAUAAUUUCUUUCAUGGCUCUAUUAUCAAUAACAAAAAAAAAAGAAAUAAAAUACAUGUAAUAAAAAAUAUACUAUUAUAAUUUUUAUUUUUUAUUUUUUAUUCUUAACUUGUCAAGAAAGCAAGAUUUUCAAAAUGAUGAAGAUUUCACAAUGAAGCAAACAAACAAUGAAUCAAAUCAGUUGUUUGAUAAUAAAAUUUAAAUCCCAUAUAUCUGAAUCAAUAUAUAUUGCAAAUACUUUCCAAUUCAAUUUACUAGCAUGUGGCACUUCUUUUUUCAAAUCUUCAAAUUUAUUCUUGGCAAUUACAAAAUCUAUUAGAAAUAUGAGAGAGUACUAGAAGCACACAAAUGAGCUUUGGAGAACCAAAUGGCAUAAGAAUGGAUACAAAUUGGCUAGAGAAAAUAAAGCUAGUUGUGUGAGCAGAAGAACACAAAGAUCAUGGUAAGGCACUUGGCUCUCCAAGAAGAAAAUAAUGAUCUUAUCUUAUUUCCUAUAACAUAAGAUGUUGUCUUGCUUGAGAAUGCACAAAUCAUUUAGCUAUGGAAUAUAAACUAGAGAUUGCAAUAACCAAAGAUCGUAAGAAUCCAAUUUUUUUUUUUAAUAAUUUAUAUUUAAAUCUUAACUAUCUUUAUCAAUUUUUAAUCAUUUCUAAAGUAAUCUUAAAAAAAUAUUUAGAAAAAUCAUAAAAAAAAUUGAAAACUAUAUAUAUAUAAUAAAUCCUAAAUAUAUCUUCAUAAAAUUUUAACCAAAUUUUAAUUAAAUUUUUAUUAAAUUCUAAAUUUUUUUUAACAAAUCCCUAUAAUAGUAUUAAAAUCUCAAUAACUAUUAAUAAAACCAUCAAUUUUGAGUAAAUAAUUUUAUAAAUUUCAAUAUUUAAGCAAAAAAUAAGCAUUCAAACUUUGAAAAAUAAAACUUAUUAAUUUUAAAAAAAGAACUCCUAAUUUGCUUAAGUAUUAGUUGUUAUCUUUUUCUAAUAUUGAUAUUGAUUUUUAAGUCAAAAUAAUUUAUAACUGAAUUAUAUACUUACUUUCUAAACUUAUAAAAUUAAUAAAAAUUAACUUCAUUAUAUACUAAAAAUAUUUUUUUUGAUUUAAAUAGUAGAUUUUAUAGAAUGACAAAAAUACUUAUUAAUUUUAGAAUUAGAAAACUAAAAUCUUAAUCCAAUCAAAUUCUAAUAUCCUUUAAUUUGACCAUUGGGUUAAUCUUAAUUUUAUAGAAAUUUUAAUUAAUUUUUUUUUUAAAAAAAUGUAUUUUCAAAGUAAAAAAAAAUUAUUUUUUCAUUUGAUAAAAUAUUUUAAAUUAUUUUAAAUAUGCAAUUUUUUUAUAAUUUUCAUAAUCCAAUUCUAUAAGAGUAAUCUUUGACUUUAUGAAGCUCUUAUAAACUCAAAAUUAAUCCAAAUCACUUGAAAUUAAUGCUUAAACAAAUCAUCAAAUGUCUUCACUGUAAUCUUAUUUUUCAUAAUGUAAAGUAGUAGUAUUAUGGACAUAAAUACUUAUUCUAGUAAUUACCUAUAUAAUUAGAUAAAAAUAAAUAAAAAUAAAUUGAAUUAGAUUAAUUUUAUAAUAUCUUCUAGAAAGGCUUCCUAAAAGCUUCAUAGAUAUAGUUCUGACUUUACAUGUUGCCGUAUUGUAUGCUUUUCUAUCUAAGAAUAUAUUAGGUACCUUAAAUUAUUGAUUAUUAUCUACUUCUAUAAAAAGUAAUAUUAUUUAUCUUCUUUUUAAGAUAUUCAUUACUUUAUAUAGAUCUAAAAUAGAUACAUUGUUGUAUUACAUGUUGUCUUAUUUAGGAAUGCACUAGACACCUAGCUUUAGAAGGCGAGGUUGUGUUUCAUAAGUAUCUAAGAAACCCUAAUAGAUUUCAUCCAUAUGAGAAGAAUAUAAUCCAAAUUUCAAUUCAAAAGUGCUAAAACACACUCUUUUUAGUAUCCAUAAUCAUAUAUAAAUCCCAAUUACCUUGUUACUUUCAUAUUUAAGGAAUUUAGAUUUUUCUUAUAAGCUCCAAUCUUAAUCAAUGAGCUUUAAUAAGCUGUAACUUCUAAUCUAACUAUCCACUUCAUAUAAAAUUUUGUAUCCAAUUAUCAAUAUAAGUCUUCUAUACGCUAAAGAAUUUUUAGCCCAAUUCAACUUAUAGAGUAUGAGAAAACCUCCAAAAACUAUAUUGAUGUCACUUGGAUGUUAACUUAAAAAAUAAAGCAAAAAUCCUGGUAGUGAUUUCUCCUUCUUUAACUAUUAACUUUAACUCAAAAUUGGUAUGCAACUUGAUCUUUAAGUCCUUCAAGAUCAAGCCCAAAUUUACCUUGAUCCAAUUGAUAGAUCUCUAGAUAUCACAAAAAUCCUACUCAAUCCCAAACUGCCAACUUUUAAAAUUGUAAAGCUACAAAUGAAAGCUCUUGAUUUAAAUCUGCUGGUUGUUGGUUCUCCAUCUCCUUAGCAUCUUAAAUGUACAUAAGCUAUAAAGAAAGAUAGAAGAUAGAAUAUAAUCUUUCUUUAAUCUUGUUUCUUUUAUAGGUGAGAUUUGCUAUUCUUCAUCUUGAUUUUGAUGGAUUUCAUUGAUGAAAAGCUUCAACUUUCUUUAUUACAUUUGUAAGAUAUUUUGAUGGCUUCCAUGUGUGUUCACUAAUAUCAUAUUUGUACCAAUGAAGAAGAUAUUCUAACCUAUUUCGAUGCCGCCUUGAGUCUAAGACUUCUUCUACCUCGAACUUUUGAUUAUUAUCUAUGAAGUUUAUGUUCUUCUGUGUUCUUAAAGUAGAUUAGAAUGCUGUCUAAAUAGCAAAUGAUAAAAUCAUCUAAAAACUCAUAAAAACCAUCAUUUAUAAAAUGUUGAAAAUCAAUCGGUGCAUUCGUGAGUCUAAAAGGCAUGAUAUUAUAUUCAAAAUAUCCAUAAUUAGCUCAAAAAGCAAUCUUCUAUUCAUCUCCUUCUUUGAUAUGAAUUAAGUUGUAUGCUCCUCGUAGAUCUAUUUUGGUAUAGAUCUUUGCUUGAUUGAGUUGAUCAAGAAGUCCUGAAAUCAAAGACAAAUAAUAUCUAUUCUUGAUCGUGAUCUUAUUGAGUCCUUGAUAAUCCACAUACAUCCACAUAGAUCCAUCUUUCUUCUUCACAAAUAAGAUAGGAACUUUGGCUGGGAAUUUAGAAUGGCGUAUGAAGUUCUCUGCCAAAUUUUCAUCAAUAUACUCCUUUAAUGCAUCUAAUUCAUUCUACAAUAAGCUAUAGAUUGAUCCAAAUGGUAGUUAAGUUCCUUCUUACAAAUCAAUUGAACAAUCAUAAGGUCAAUAAUCUAGAAGAAUAUCUACAUUCUUCUUUUAAAAAAUAUCUUGGAAUUCUUCAUAUUGGCUAGGAAUACCACUUGACUUUUUUUCACCAUUAGAAAUGGGCAUAGCAUAUAUAACAAAAGAUGAUCCUUCUUUUGCAGCAUGCAUGAAAGCUCUCGCUCCUAUGAAGUUAGAUUUGGAAGUACUAAACUUUUAUACUUCUACUCUGCUAAUUCGAUCUUAGAUUAUACUAUCAAAAAAAUGAAGGUUAUAUUUUUUUAGCCAUAAUAAUCCUAAAACAAUCGGAUUGGAAAGAGAUCUUAUUACAUUAAAUACUACUAUGUUUUUAUGAUCUUUAAAUAUUACAUCUAAAAGAACAACCUCAUGAAUAACAUUUCCAAAAGACAACAGACGACCUUCUAUGACUUCUACAUAUUUGGAUUUUGUUUUUUUGAUUAAAGAUAUUUUUUGAUUUUUGACAAAAUCUUCAUCUAUAAAAUAGGUUGAGGCUCUUGAAUCUAAUUAGGCAAGCACUCUGUGAUUUUUAGGUCUUAAACGUACUUCCAUUGUAAAAAAAAGUGAGGGAUCUGAUGAGAGAAUAGGACCUUUACUAGGUGUUGCUUAUGAUUCCAGCCGCAUGGUCCUUGUUGUAGCUAAAGAAACUCGUUUUUUGACACACUAUCUUCUUUGGUAAUUGUGCUUUUCAUUUUAUUAUUGCGUUGGUUUUUUGGACAAUGUUGAGCAAUGAGCUUAGUUUCUCUACAGUAUAAACACAAAUCCUAUUGGCAACAUCAAGUUUUUUCGUCCUUUGUGAGAAUUUUAAAGUAUAUCAUAUCAAUUUGCAUUCGUUUUGGCCUUGAUGAAUACGUUUCAAAAUACUUAGAAGUUGCUGCCAUUACUUGAUUUAUUCUUAUUGAGCCAAAUCUUUGUUCUAGAUGCCUUUCAAAUAAUUGAUUCUUGCAUGCAAUGGCUUAAGCAAUUAAUUAUUUGAAAGAUUUUAUUUUUGGCAUUGUUAAUAACAAAUCUUUGAUGCUAUUCUUUAAUCCAUAUCGAAAUUGAUUGAUGAGUGCUUUGUCAUUUCAGUCCAUAUUACAAGUAAGAUUUUGGAAUUUAGUAGCAUAUGUAGUGGCUGAUCAUUAUCCUUAUUGUAAAGAUAAAAGUUUGGUCUUUGCUACUUAUUUUAGAUCACUUUCUCCAAAUAUGGCUAUAAACACUUCUAGGAAUGAAUUCAAAUAAUGAAGGAGUCACAAAUCUUUUUCUAUUAAAGGUACAAACCAAGAAAGAGUACUUCUUGAUAGAAGUAUGUUUAUGAAUCCAACUUGAGUAAAUCCAUCAAGAUAUUGAAAAAGAUGCAAUCUUAGAUAGAGCUUGAUUUGUUGUAAAAAUCUUCAAAAUUUUGAUCUUGUUCCAUCAAAAUUUUCAAGCAUACUAAUCCUUGUCCCCAUCAUACUUGUAGAAACAAAACUCCCUAGAUUUGGUUGUGAGGUCGAUCUAAUUGCUUCCUUUAAUUGUACAACUUCUUGCCACAAACUUUGAACUUCUUCUAUGGGUAUAGGCAUAGAACCUCCAUGAUUCACGUUAGAAAUAUAUGAGAUUUGUACUCUAAGAAUAUUGAUAAGCUCAUGUAGAUCUGCAAUAGUUGUAAAUCUAUUCUCACUUUUGCUAGGUGAAGUAUCUAUAAUCUUUCUUUGCAUAGGCAACUCAAAUAAAUCCAAAAAGUUAAAUUAGAGGAAGAUAAUCUACAACCUCUAAUAAAAAUAUCCAAAAAGAGAGAUAAUCUACUUUCUUUAAGGAAAGAUCACUGUUAGAAAAUAAGAUUUUUAUUACUUAAAAGGUGAUUAGACUGUAAUCUUUACAAUACAAUAAUAGAAGUGAGAUAAUCCAUUCACUUCUAAAAUAAGACAAAAAUAAUAUGUUAGUACUCUUAUCAAACUGUCAAGGACAUGAAUCUCAAAGAAAGAGAAUCCUUGAUACACUCUUAUUUCACUAAAGAGAACUAAAAAAUCACUCCAAAGAUAAUGUAAUAUUAAUUAGAAUGGCUAUUGUCAAAAAAAAAAAGUCUAGAAAGUUUUGAAACAAGACUAUGGACUAGAAUGGCAUUGACAAGAGUGAAAAAGGCUUCUUUCUUACCUCCAUAUAUACUCUUAAGUAGGAGUUAUGUGACAAUGUCAUAUAAGACCUCCAAGUCAUGUUGACUCUAUUAGCCACAAGACAAGUUAUGUAUGUAUGCGUCACAUGGUUAACUUAUUCCACAAGUUAUUAUGUAGAGUUAACUUGUUCCACAAGCUAUCAACAUGUAGUUAACUUGUUGGCUAAGUUUUUGAUCUACAAACACAUCUAAAGUCAAAAUUUCAUCUAUAAAGCUUCUAGAAAGCUUCAUUAAAAGAUUUUAUGAAAUUAAUCUAUAAUUACCUACUUCUACCUAAUCAUAUAAGUAAUUAUUGAAAUAAAUGUAUAUGUCUGUGACAAAGAGUCUUCUAAAUUCAAGAUUGAAGAGAACUUCUUGUUUUUUAAAGAACGUUUGUUCAUUCCUGAAAGGCCAACUUGCUUGCGAAUUCUUCAAACAUGCAAUGACUUCCUUGUAAUUGGACAUUUUAGAUUCAACAAGAUCUUAGAACUUCUGUCUAGAGACUUUUGGUGGCCUAAAAUGUAAAAAGACAUUAAAAAAUUUGUACUAUCAUGUGAUACUUGUUCAAGGUCAAAGAAUCCUUGACAUUGGCCAUAUAAACUUCUUCAACCCCUUCCUAUUCUAAGACAACCAUAGUCAUCUAUCUCCAUGGAUUUUAUUACAGAUCUUCUACUAUCAAGCUCAUUUGAUACUAUCUUCAUAGUUAUUAAUCAAUUGACUAAGAUGGCACAUUUUAUACCUUAUAGGAAGUCAAUUAUUAGUAAAGAGAUGACAAGGCUCUUUAUUGACAAUAUCUAUUAUUACCACGGAUUGCCAAACGAUAUUGUGUUAGAUCAUAGAUCAUAGAUCAUAAUUUGUAUUAAGAUUUUGGAAGGUACUCUUCAAGUUUCUUUAAGUUGACAUUAACCUUUCUUUUAUCUUCUACCUUCAAACUGAUGGCCAAACAGAGUGGAUCAAUCAAAUUCUUGAGCAGUAUUUGAAGUGUACCAUCAACUAAUAACAAAACAAUUAGACUUCCUACUUGUUGUUGGUGGAGUUUGCAUAUAAUAUACAAUCUAUGCAUCUAUGCAACAAAUGUCAUUCUACUCAAACUAUGGUGAUCAUCCAAAGUUGGAUAUAAUAGAAUCUUUAAAGUUGAUAAAUCCAUCAAUAGAUAAGUUUGUUAGAAAGAUGGCUGAACUUCAAGCAACCAUGAAGACUCACCUAGAAAAGGCUCAAUGACGUUAUAAGCUAGUGGUGGAUGAAUUAAGAAAAGAAUAUCCUCCAUUCCAAGUUGGUGACAAAGUGUGGCUUCUUCAGUGCAAUAUAAAAACUAACAGAUCAUGUCAUAAGUUGGACUACCAAAGGUUGGAAUCAUUUGUGAUUUAGAAACAAAUCAAUAAUAUAACUUAUCACUUGGAGUUACCUUUAUCUAUAAAAAUUCAUCCAAUCUUUCAUGUUUUACUUUUGAAAAGGUAUAAAGAAUCAAACUUAUCAAGUUGAAGAUAAUUACCACCUCCUAUGGUUGAAAUCAAAGAUCAUAUUGAAUUUGAGGUAGAAGAGGUAUUAGAUUCAAGGAUAAGACAUGGAAGGCUUGAAUAUCUGGUCCAUUGGCAUGGAUAUGAUAUCAACGAUUGUAUGUAAAAACCAACUAGCAACCUUGUAAAUGUACAAAUGAAGGUUCAAAAUUUCCAUCAAUGACAUCCAUCCAGAUCAAAAGUGACAAAAUGAGAAAUAGUAGCUUGGUAAGAUGGCUUCACUAUGAAGAUUCUUAGUUUUUGGCCUCAUAAAGAAGGGAAGGAGGUAGCCUUUGAAGAGACAAUUUUUUCAAAUAUUUAGAAUAGUAUAAGUCAAUAAUUUGAGUUCAUAAUCAUAAUCUAUUUAUAUUCUUUUGGUCUUGUGUAUUUUAUAUGAUAUGGAUAGUGAAGAGAUAGACACCUUAUUGGUCAUACCAUCUCAACCAAGUAGCUUGCAAAGUUGAUCCUAAGAUGAAGAGCCUCAUGAACCACAAUGACGUUGUCAUGUUGUAAUACGACUAUAUAGUGAAAUUAUAAUCAAAGUUGAAUUUCUAAUUAAUAUCUAAUUAUCUUAAUUAAAUUAUAAUUUGAAGCAUCUAAACAUGGCUUUUAUAUUAGCCUCUUAGGUUAUUUUCUUAUCUUAAUAGUUAGUAGGUUGAAGGUUAGUUAAUAAUUUUACCCUCUAGGUUGUAGAGACUCUUCUACUACCUUAGAAAGACCAUAAACUAAUAAAAUCAGGUUAGAAGAGGUAAAUAAUUAGUAUAAUUGGUACUAGGGUUAAGUUGAGAGUAGGAUUGGAAUAAAAAAACCUUAUGAUACAUUAGAUUGAUACCUAUGGGUCGACCAUUUGUGAGACAGGAUCGAAAUCAAAUCUUUGGCCACUAAAACGACGGCCUAGGGCAAAAUAGGGAUUUAUUUGAAGAUCAAAGGUUAGUAUUUGAGAGCUAGCUUAAAGUUAUUUUCAAAGACAUAAGAAUUGUUUUGAGUGGAUUUUGGAAGACUUAGCAAUUAUUUUUCAAAGUUAGGAAUUAUAUCAGUGAUUUGGAUUUUAUAUAAUAUAAUUAGGACUAGAAAUUUUGGUAGUUCGUGCAAUUGAUGUAACAUCUACAGUUGUAAACUUGGUACUCUUUGGAUUAUUGAGUGUACUAAGUGUAUACAAAUUUUUUUGAUAAUCUAACUGCAUAGUUUAGAGAUAUCUAGUUUUUAGUAUAAGAGAGUUUUAGAAGGUGGCAGUUUGAGGUUUGAUAGAGUUUCUAUGAUAUCUAAAGAUCUAUUAGUUGAAUUUAAGUGAAAAUUAGCAUGGUGUUGAAGGACUUGAAGAUCAAGCUACACACUAAUUUUAAGAUAAAGUUAAUAAUUGGAAAUGAAGAAAUAAUUGUUGGGAUUUUUGCUUCACUUUUCAAGUUGGUAUCACGGCCAUAAUCAUGUAAGCUAAUAAUUACAUAUAGAAGUAGGUAAAAGUAAGUUAAUUCUAUAAUAUUUAAUAUGGAAGCUUCCUAGAAACUUCCUAGAUGCUGUUUUGACUUCAUAGGUGUCUUUAAUUGACUUUUUGGAUUAGAAACGUGGUCAACAAGUUGGCCAUGUGCCACACAUGUUGUUAGCUUGAAGAUCAAGCUAACUAUGUGGCCUACACGUAGAAAAACUUGCCUUGUAAGUCAAGGCAUGUGCCCUACAAAGUCAAUACAUAUUGGAGGUCCUAUAGAACGUCGCAACGUAGCGUCUAGUUAGAGAGUAUAUAUAGAGACAAGAGUGAAGGCUUCUUCACUCUUGUCAACUCCUUUCUUGCUUCUAGUCUAGUUUCAAGGGUCUCUAGUUUUCUUGUCUUUUGGCAAUAGCCAUUCCAGUUCCCCUUUCAAUAUAUAUACUUAUUUAUAUAUAUUUUGUUACCUGUCUUUGAGUGAAGGCUCACUUGUCUGAAUUAUUUUUUUCAUCGAGUUCUUGUCCUUGACAGAUUCACAAGAGUACACCUACAAUAUCAGAGCUUUGUCUAAUCUUGAUUAAGAGUGGAUUACUCCUUUUUUCUUGAUAAGAUAUAAGCAUAUUAGAAGUUGCGGAUUACCCUCUUCUAAACUGAUAUUGUCCUUAGUAUUUUCUUUGUCCGCAAGUCCUCUUUUCUAGUUGUCUUGAGCGAUAUUAGACAUCUUCUCUCUUCUAAGUAUUAUCAUGGCAGAACUUCUUGAAAUGAAGAGUGCAAUGGCACAAAUGCAAGAGCAAUUGAGGGAGUUAAUGCUUGCAAUGCAUCAACUCAAUUUACCACCACAAAGAGCAACAAGAUUAGCAAGAAGUGAAGAUAUAGAAAUGGUUGGAGCUGCUUCAACAUCUGCACCGAACCAUGUCUUUUCUCCUAUGGUGGAACACCCUUCAAAUGUUAGAGAACCAAGAAUUGCCCUACCCGAGAAGUUUGAUGGCACCAGAUCCAAGUUUCGAGGAUUUAUCAAUCAAGUAUAACUUGUGAUUGAACUUCAACCCCAAAGCUAUCCAACUCUAAGAUCACAAGUUAGAUUCAUUGGUACGCUUCUUUCAGGUUCGGCACUAUCGUGGUUUUCAUCUUUUUUUGAACAACAAGAUCCAAUAUUGGAUAAUCUAGAGGCUUUUUUGGCGGAGUUUUGAUCCAUGUAUGGAGAACAUGAUGCAAUUCGUGUUGCAACCAAUAAGAUCCAUAUUUUACGACAAGGCAAUCGAUCAGUAACGUUAUAUGCUUCACAAUUUCGACAACUUGCAACUGAUAUUAAGUGGGAUGAUGCUCCACUUAUUAGCCAAUUUCUCUAUGGAUUAUAAUAUGAGGUAAAAAAAUUAAUGCUCAACUUACCUGAUCCUCAAACAUUGAGUCAAGCAAUUGACUUUGCUAUGAAGUGCGACAAUCGCCUUUUUGAAUUUCGAUCUGAGAACCGUACAAGUGGACCUCAAUGUUACUAUAAUUCAAUGGCAACACCAACACCUCUUCAAUACAUACAUUCAAAAGUAGAGAAUAUGCAAAUUGAUGCAGUACGUUUCAAACCUCUUACUGAGCAAGAAAAGACUCGUCAUUCGUCAAGAAGGAUUAUAUUUAUAUUAUGGAUAACCAAAGCACACUGCUCAACAUUGUCCAAAGAAACAAGGCAAUCACAAAAUGAGGAGUAUGGCUGUGAAAGAAGAUAAUAUGUCGGAAAACGAAUUUGUCCAGGUACAAUAGGGACCGUGCGGCUGGAUCCUUGCACAAUAUCUAGUAAAGGUCCUAUUCUCUCCUCAGAGCCCCCUCCUUGUUUUACAUUAAAUGUUAUUUUAGGACCUAAAUAUUACAAAGUCUUUGCCUUAUUAGAUUCAGGUGCCUCAACGUGUUUUUUAGAUGAAGAAUGUACUAAAAGACAUAGCAUAUCUUUAGUUAAGAAAACUAAACAUGUUCAUGUAGAAGUCAUAGAUGGUCGUCCAUUAUCUUCUGGAGAUAUUACUCACGAAACCCUUCCUAUAGAAGUAAUAAUCAAUGGUCAUUAUAGUUUUGUAGUAUUUAAUAUCAUUAGAUCUCCCUCUAAUCCUAUCAUUUUAGGUUUAUCGUGGUUAGAAAAAUACAACCCUCAAAUAGACUGGAUUUCUCGAACUCUUACUUUCUCUAAAAGUAUAACUAACAGUGUAGUUAAGCAAGUAGAGAGUCAUAAGUCCAAUUCAAUUAAACCCGUAUUUAUAGGUGCAAAAGCUUUCUUGCAUGCAACUAUGAAAGAAUCACCAUAUAUUAUUUAUGCUACAUCCGUUUCUACUGGUGAAAAGACUUUAAGUGGCAUUCCAAGCCAAUAUCAAGAAUUUCAAGAUGUAUUUGAGAAAAAAAAUGCGGAUACACUUCCGGAACCUCAUCCCUAUGAUUGCUCAAUUGACCUUCAAGAAGGAGCACAACCGCCAUUCGGACCAAUCUAUAGUUUAUCACAAAAUGAGUUGCCUCAACUCAAGGAGUAUAUUGAAGAAAAUCUAGCCAAGAAUUUCAUACGCCAUUCUAAAUCUUCCGCAGGAGCUCCAAUUCUAUUUGUAAAGAAAAAAGAUGGAUCAUUGCGGAUGUGUGUUGAUUAUCGAGGACUCAACAAGAUUACCAUUAAAAACAGGUAUCCACUACCUUUAAUAUCCGAACUUCUUGAUCAGCUGAAUCAAGUUAAGAUCUAUACAAAAAUAGAUCUUCGGGGAGCAUACAAUCUAGUACGCAUCAAAGAAGGAGAUGAAUGGAAGACUGCAUUUCGAACUAGGUAUGGACAUUUUGAAUACAACGUCAUGUCUUUUGGACUUACAAAUGCACCAACAGCUUUUCAACAUCUAAUGAAUGAUGUUUUUCGAGAGUUUUUGGACGAUUUUGUGAUAUGUUAUCUAGACGACAUCUUGAUCUAUUCUAAGAAUCUAAAAUGACAUGAACUUCAUGUUCGUCGUGUGUUACAAAAAUUAAGAGAUGUAGGACUCUAUGCCAAGAUAGAAAAGUGUGUAUUCCACACUACUCAAGUUGAUUUCUUAGGUUACAUCAUUUCAAAUGAUGGACUUAUGAUGGAUCCUGAGAAAGUUCAAACUAUUAUAGAUUGGAAGAUCCCAAUAACGGUAAGAGAUGUCCAAUAUUUUUUAGGAUUUGCCAACUACUAUCGGAUCUUCAUCGAAGACUUCUCUCGAGUUGCAGCUCCACUUACACGUUUGACUUGUAAAGACAAACUCCAAUGGAAUUAAGAAGCGGAAGUUGCUUUUGAAUCUUUGAAGACAUCGUUUGUUUCUGCAACAAUCUUGUAUCGUGUUGAUUUUUCCAAAGCAUUCUUUAUAAAAACAGAUGCAUCGGACUUUGCUCUGGGUGUGGUUUUAUCACUAAUGGGAACAGAUGACAAACUUCAUCCAGUAGCCUUUCAUUCAAGAAAAUUCUCAGCAGCAAAAAUCAAUUAUGAGAUCCAUGACAAAGAACUUCUUGUAAUUGUGGAUUCUUUUCAAGAAUGGCGUCAUUAUCUAAAAGGCCCUUCUAGUCCAGUCACCGUGUAUACGGAUCACAAGAACUUUGAAUAUUUUAUGUCAACACGCGUAUUAAAUCGUCGCCAAGCUCGUUGGAGCAUGUCUUUAUCAAGAUUCGAGUUCAUCAUCACUUAUCGGCCAGAAAAACUACAAGGUUUAUCCGAUGCUUAUCUAGACGUUCUUAUCUUGCACCAAAAGAAAGAGAUGCAGCUUUUGAGCAACAAAAAAUGGUUCUCUUGAAGCCGGAACAAUUUCAUCUUCGAGCAAUAAAAUCAACAUUGAUUGUUGAUUUAACUUUCCUUAAGCAAGUCCAGUUAAGUAUGUCUUCAGACCUUCUUGUUCAUGAUAUCAAGAACAAUUCUUCUAAAUCUCAUGAUUCAUCUGAAUUUGAAUUCAAGAACAACCUACUCUAUUUUGAAGGACGCCUAUAUGUUCCAGAAGGAGAAGCACGUUUAUGUGUUCUUCAAGCUCGUCACGACUUUCUAGUAGCAGGACAUUUCGAAUAUAAUAAGACUUUGGAGCUGAUAUCUAGGGAUUUUUGGUGGCCUCAAAUGUAGAAGGCAGUUAAAGAUUUUGUACAAUCAUGUGAUGUUUGCUCCAGAUCGAAAAUUCCUUGUAAUCGACCUUUUGGACUUCUUCAGCCAUUACCCAUUCCAGAACAACCAUGGUCUUCUGCUUCUAUGGACUUCAUCAUGAAUCUUUCAAUCUCAGGUUCUUAUGACUCUAUAUUCGUGAUAGUAGAUGGUUUUACCAAGAUGGCACAUUUUGUACCAUGUACAAAAUCUAUCACAGGUGAAGAAAUAGCUAAGCUCUUUCUUGACAAUAUCUAUCAUUAUCAUGGAUUAUCCAAGGAUAUUAUAUCAGAUAGGGAAACUCAAUUUGUAUCAAGAUUUUGGCGGACUCUUUUCAAGAUUCUUAAAGUGGAUAUAAAACUAUCUUCGGCAUUCCAUCCUCAAACUGAUGGACAAACGGAGCGUGUUAAUCAAGUUUUGGAGUAAUAUUUAAGAUGUACUAUUAAUUACCAACAAGAUGAUUGGACAACUCUUUUGCCAUUGGCAGAGUUUGCUUACAAUAACACAGUACAUUCUUCUACAAAACAAACACCUUUCUUUAUUAAUUAUGGUUAUCAUCCACGACUUGAUACUUUUAACUUUUCAAAAGUUGAUAAUCUUGCUGCGAAAGAUUUGGCAAUUCAUUUAUCAAAGCUACAUGCAACGAUGAAGGCGAAGUUAAAAGAGGCUCAAGAACAACAAAAGGCCAAUGCGGAUGUCUAUCGAAAGAAACAACCAUCAUUUGUCUUAGGUGAUAAGGUAUGGCUACUUCGUCACAAUAUCAAGACCACUCGUCCUUGUGACAAGUUGGACUAUCGAAAGGUGGGACCAUUUUCUAUUUCUGCACAAAUCAAUCCAGUUGCAUAUCGUUUAGAUCUACCAGAGUCAAUGAAAAUCCAUCCUGUAUUCCACGUGUCUCUUCUUGAACCAUACAAGACAAUGGACAUACCAAGAAGACGAGAAGCUCCACCUCCUCCUAUAGAAGUGGACAAUAAUGAAGAGUUUGAAGUAGAAGAAGUCUUAGAUUCAAGGCGACGUCGAAAUAAAUUAGAAUAUCUUGUCCAUUGGCAUGGAUAUGAUAUUAGUGAACAUACAUGGGAGCCAAUAAAGAAUCUUACAAAUGCAGUAAAGGCCGUGGAGGCUUUUCAUAAACGACAUCCAUCAAAAUCAAGAUGAAAACCUUCUUUAGAAAAGAAACAACAUCUAGGCAAGAUGACAUUCUACUUUCAAUUCUUGUUCGUAGCUUUGUUGUAGUAGUGGCGCUCAGGAGAUGGAGAACCAACAACCAGCAGAUUCAACUCAAGAGCCUUCAUUUGCUGACCUGUCGGACGAGACAUUACGAUUGUCACAACCUUCAAGAUGACACAAUCGAGAUGAAGAUCUUCAAGAAUUACAUGUUCUUCCUCGAAUAGAUGGUGAGAUACAACGCAUUUGGUAUCACGAUUUGGGAAGGGACUCCCGAUGUUUGGUGAUUUUGCUAGAGGUAGGAACAACUCCUGAUGGUGUUCCAAAUAUUCUAUUCGAAGGAAGUUACGAAGGUUUCAACAAUGAUCAAAUAACUGGGUGGUCUUCCCGCCCUAGUAUGGGACACUACCGAUGGUUGAGAGGCCCUAUCAAUCAUCUUCGAAGAAAACAGAGAUCAGAGUAUGUGGCGAAUACAAUUCGUCGCAUCAUAGAUUUUCUCAACAUAUGAUGACCGCUCCUCGUGGAACUCGGCCCUAGAAGGGGGGGUAAUGUCACGGCCAUAAUCAUGUAAGCUAAUAAUUACAUAUAGAAGUAGGUAAAAAUAAGUUAAUUCUAUAAUAUUUAAUAUGGAAGCUUUCUAGAAACUUCCUAGACGCUGCUUUGACUUCAUAGGUAUCUUUAAUUGACUUUUUGGAUUAGAAACGUGGUCAACAAGUUGGCCAUGUAGCACACAUGUUGUUAGCUUGAAGAUUAAGCUAACUAUGUGGCCCACACAUAGAAAAACUUGCCUUGUAAGUCAAGGCAUGUGCCUUACAAAGUCAACACAUAUUGGAGGUCAUAUAGAACGUGGCCACGUAGCCCCUAGUUAGAGAGUAUAUAUAGAGACAAGAGUGAAGGCUUCUUCACUCUUGUCAACUCUUUUCUUGCUUCUAGUCUAGUUUCAAGGGUCUCUAGUUUUCUUGUCUUUUGGCAAUAGCCAUUCCAGUUCCUCUUUCAAUAUAUAUACUUAUUUAUAUAUAUUUUGUUACCUCUCUUUGAGUAAAGGCUCACUUGUCUGAAUUAUUUUUUUCAUCGAGUUCUUGUCCUUGACAGUUGGUGGCCAAGUAACAUUAGUGCAAUUUUUGGAGGUUUUAUCACAAUUGUAAGUUGGAUUGGGCUUAAAAAUCUUGAGCAUAUAGAAGAGUUACAUUAACAAUUGCAAGCAAAAUUCCACAAUUAGUGGACGGUCGGAUUAGAUGUUACAGCUUAUUAAAGCUCACUGUUUAGAAUUGGGCUUGUAAGAAAAAUCUAAAUUGCUUAAAUAUAAAAACAACAUGGUAAUUAGAAUUUAUAUAUGGUUAAGACUACUAAAAAGAGUGUUUUAAGCACUUUUGAAUUGAAAUUCAAAUUAUAUUCUUUUUGUAUGGAUGAAACCUAUUAGGAUUUCUUGGCUACUUGUGAAACACAAUCUCACCUUCCACAGCUAAGUGCCCAAUGUAUUCUUGAGCAAAACAACACGUAAUAUGACAACGUCAAAGGAUACCUAGUAAUAGGUUGCUGGUAAUUAUGUUUGAGGUAGAACUUGCCUAUAAAGGAUGCCUAGAAGGAGUGUUUGUAAGACAAUUCUGUAACAAAGAUAUCAAAGUUUAUACUUGGACAAAAGUAGAAGACUUGGAGCACUAUUGAUGGCUACAAGGACCUAUUAAUCAUUUGUCUUGUGAAAAACAUCAAGAAUAUAUAGUGGAUAUCAUGCGACAGAUCUUCAACUUCUUGCACGUAUACUGACUUGUAGCAAUAUUACUUCUUGGAGACAUCAAAGCUAGAGGAUGAGGUGAUAUCACAAAUGUAUAAUUGAAGAAGGUUUAAGAAGGUUCUUAUAUAUUUUAGAAGAUUUUAGAAGAUUUUGAUAGAUUCUAAGAAGGUUCUAAAAGACUUUAAUAGAUUUUAAGAAAAUUUUAGAGAGUCAUAGGAGAUCCUAGAAGUUUUUAAGAAGCUUUAGAUGAUUUAGGAAGUUACCAAAGAAGGAUUUUAGGCUUUCUUUGUUCCCCAGCCUCACGAAAUUUUUUCAAAAAGCUUCUUGGCACUUAGUAUAUAUAGAAGUCGAGAUUGAGGGGAUCUUCAAUGUCGACAACUGACUUCUUGUAGUCUAUCUAGGACCUUCUUGCUUUUUAUCUGGUUAUUACUUUAAUGUUGAGCUUAUUUUAUUUCUUGAUCUUGAGUCCUUGUCUUAUGUGUAGUUCCAAACAUAUAUACCAAGAUGUCAUUUAUGAAGACUGUUACUUAUUUGUUCAAAAUGUCUCAAAUUAAAUUGUUCAUUUGACUUAUAAAAGAAACUAGAGCAUUGGUAAGGCCAAAAGGUAAAAGAAGCCAUUCAAAAGGUCUAUAGUAUAUAAAAAUGUCUUCUUUUUUAUAUAUCUCUUUUGUGAUAGGUGUCUAUUGAUUGCCAUUGUAAUGAUCUAAUUUACUAAAGAUGGUCACAUCUUGAAGUUGAUCAAGAAGUUCAUCCACAUAUAGAAGUGGAUAUGCAUUUUUAAUAGUUUAUUUUUUAAGACUUUGAUAGUUGAUACAAAGUCAAAGUCCACCAUCCAUCUUGGGUGCAAAGAAUACAACUCCUCUCCAUAGUAAUAUACUUUCUUAAAUGAGGCUUUUCUCUAAAAAUUCAUUCAAUAUCUUAUGCAGUUCUUGAAAUUUCUUUAGUAUUAGGCAAUAAAUUGGUCAAUUUGCUAGUUUGGCUUCAGAUAAUAGUUCUAUUGGAAAAAAUGCAUCUUUAUUAGGAGAGACAUUGUAGUACUAUAAUUACUUAUAGUAUGUAAAAAUUAGUUAGAACAUAUAAUAUGUUCAUAAGUCUUAGUGUAUGUUAGAAUGGUUAGUAGAUUAAUUUAAAGAAAGUGGAUAUAAAAAACUUUAUUUUGAAUUUUAUCUAUUUUGAUUAUAGCAUUUAAAAAAAUUAUACGACCUAAAUAUUUAAUAUGAAGCUUUGAGAGGAGAUUAGAGCCUAAAGAUGAAAAUCUUAACUAGUAGGAUGCUUAUUGGGAAGGAUGAAAGCAAGGCAUGGUCAGAUGAAGGCAAGGAAUGGAGAUCUUCAUUCCUAUUGGUCGAAGGCCAUGUCCAAUGGGCUUUAAGGAGGCUGCCUGAGGCCUUAUUAGGGAUUAAGGUUUCUUUUUUGAAGUCAUUUGAGCUUUGUAGGCUAGAAUCAGCAAGUUUAAGUUUUUGAGUAUGGAUUGGAUGCAAAUUUUGUGUAAUUUGGAGUAUUAAUGAAAGAAUUAUUGGCGCUCAAAGUUAAGGUAUCAAUUUCAUACCUACUAUCACUCUUUGGAGUAUAACAUACAUUUGCAAAGAGCAACAAAAGAUUGGAGACUAGGAUUAGAGAGAACACCUCUUCAACUAUACUUUUUAUAGAUUUUUUUGAUGAAUUUAGAAUUUAGAUGAAGAAGUUAUAGAGAGUUGAAGUCAAUACAUCCAAAUCAAAGGCUGUAAGUAAGUGAUUUUGUUCACAAUAAUGGAUUCACCCAUAUUUUGAGUUUUUAGACGAAUUUUUGGCUCGAACUUUUUGAAGAAGAUAUAUUAUUUUAUUAAAAAUCUAUACAUACAAUUUUUGUGGUAUUUAAAUAUUUAAUUUGUGAGAUAUGAUGAAAAUUACAUAUGGAUGUAUAAAAAUUAGGAUUUCAAGCUAUUGUUAGGAUUUUGGUGAUAUCUUAAGUUUCGUAAUGAAUUUGUAGUUUAAAUUUAGGUUUGGAAGUUGGUAAGAUCACAUUAGUACUUCAUAUAAAAUUUGAAUAAGUUUGGACAGUUGGAUUAGGAGAUAAAAGGUAUUGAAGUUCGAAAAAAAUUCCAUGUAAGGGUAUAUAAGGUUUUAGACGGUUUUAUCAUAUUUUGAAUGUUAUUUGUUACUAUGGGCUUAUGUAUUUGAUGUAAUUGCUCCAAAAAGGAAAAUUUCAUAUAUCAACUUAGGACUUACUUUACUAUGAAGCUUGUUUGAGUAGUUAGUGAUAACCAAUAGCCUAGUACUUUCUUGAGGCAAAUUCUCUCUAUCUUAACAAUGCCACUAGAUAGGUCACUUAGAAAGAUAUUUCAAUAUUUGUAUAUGAGUUGUUCUUUCCAUUCCACUCCUUUAGCUAUCUUUUCUACUAUUGAUGUAAGAUUUGCUUAUACUCUAUUUGCUUCUUCAUAUAAGUUAUUUCUAAAAAAAAGUCUUUAGUCACAAAUUAUUUUCUUCUUUAUUUAAUGUGGAGGUACAAAGAUUCCCCUUGCGUCUACCAUCUUUGAAAGAAAUUAUUCUUAAUAUCCAAUUGACUUACUUAAGUUCCACCUCUAGGCAUGGCAUACCAAAGAUAACAUCGGAUCUUAGUUUUGUGAUCCUCAACCUCUUUCUCUUAAGACGUAGGUAUCAAAUAACCUUAAGAUUUCUUCUUCACAUAUCUUAUUCAAUACUUUCUCUCAGUCAUUUAUAAGGUAUAUACUUCCUCUAUUGAUUACCUUAGUUUCAAUCUCGAGUUGGUUGGUAAUUUAAGUCAAGAUGAAAUUUGAACUCAAUCCUCACAUCUUUCAAAUAACUUGCUGCAUAUAUAUUUCUUUCAAUAGUAUUUGCUUCAAAUAGUUGGAGAUAUUGUAGCAUGUUCAAGAGCUAUUGACAUACUUCUUCUUGCCUUGAAGUCCUAAAGUAUGUACUUGACUUAUUCAAUUCAGCCUAGUAUAUAUCAACUCUCUUGCCUUAGAGGCUUCUAUUUGCCUUUGCAAAGUAGCUAUCUGGCUUAAGAGAUGUUGUAUUUGAGCCUCCAUCUGGGAUUGCUCUACCAUAUCUCCCAUACUAAAAAUUUUCCACUAGAUUUCACUAUUAUAAUGCCUUCUCAUCUCUUGAUUGACUUUUUUAAAAUAUCUUAUGGUAGCCUCAACACAAUACCUAGUGUGAUGACAAUAACUGACUUUAGAUUAGAUAAUGACUAUUACCAUACUAUCAAAGAAUAAUCUAAUAAUUACUCUGAUAUCAAUGAAAUAAGACCUGUCUAUUUCAAGAGAUUAAGACCCUUCAAAUUCACAAUAAUAUAAAUCUCAUCUUAAGUAGGAUAAAAUGGAUUAGAAAAAAUUGAGCAAUCAAAAAUACAACAAAACAAAAUUGAAUAAUAAAAUGAUAAACCAAACUUUAUUGACUGAAUAGGUCUAAAGCCAUACCUAACUAGAUGUCCAAAAGGCCUUGGCCAAUCCUAUUUAUAUUUUAUCCAAUCAUCUUGAAAUUUUUUAGAUUAUUUUUAAUAAUAGAUUUUACUUAGAUAAUCAUCCUAAGCUCUUUCUAUAAGGUUCUAUAGUAGAUCUUAUCUAAAUAAUCAUCUUAAGUUCUUUUUAAAAUAUUCCAUUCUGGAUUCUAUAUUACAUACUAACAUAGUCCCAUUUCUAGAAACUUCUAUUAACUUCUGAAAUAUACUCCAACUAUCUAUCUCUAAGUAUGAAGAAUACAAAAAUCUUAUUAACUCUUUUUUAUAAGGAAUUCUUGACCUUGAACAAAUAUUACAUGAUUAGAUUAAGUCUUUCAUUGCCUUCCACAUUUGUAGCUACCAAAAAUCUUUAGAUAUAAGUUAUAAAGUCUUAUUAUAUCUCAAAUUGAUGGCCAUUAGAAAGUCAUGAUGUACUUAAAAAAUACCUACAUAUACUUCUCUUUUUGAAAUGUAUAAAGGUUAUCAAAAUAGAAUAGAUUAAUUUUGAAUUCAAACUUAGAAGCAUCAUGAGAUUUAGAAGAAGGAUUCUUGAUAUCAUAAAUAAGAAGAAAACAUGACAUACUUGAUUGAAAUUAUUUGAUGGUCGUUUGUUGUCUUUUCAAAAUGUUAUUUAUGAGGUUAUUCUUUUAGAUGUAAUAUUUAAAGAUCAUAAAAGCAUAGUAGUAUUUAAUGUAAUAAGAUCUCCUUUAAAUCUGAUUGUUUUAGGAUUAUUAUGGCUAAAAAAAUAUAACCUUCAAAUAGAUUAGAUUUCUUGUAACCUUCACUUUUUUGGUAGUAUAAUCUAAGAUCGAGUUAGCAGAGUAGAAGUAUAAAAGUUUAGUACUUCCAAAUCUAACUUCAUAGGAGCGAGAGCUUUCAUGCAUGCUGCAAAAGAAGGAUCAUCUUUUGUUAUAUAUGCUAUGCCCAUUUCUAAUGGUGAAAAAAAGUCAAGUGGUAUUCCUAGCCAAUAUGAAGAAUUCCAAGAUAUUUUUUAAAAGAAGAAUGUAGAUAUUCUUCUAGAUUAUUGACCUUAUGAUUGUUCAAUUGAUUUGUAAGAAGGAACUUAACUACCAUUUGGAUCAAUCUAUAGCUUAUUGUAGAAUGAAUUAGAUGCAUUAAAGGAGUAUAUUGAUGAAAAUUUGGCAGAGAACUUCAUACGCCAUUCUAAAUUCCCAGCCAAAGUUCCUAUCUUAUUUGUGAAGAAGAAAGAUGGAUCUAUGUGGAUGUAUGUGGAUUAUCAAGGACUCAAUAAGAUCACGAUCAAGAAUAGAUAUUAUUUGUCUUUGAUUUCAGGACUUCUUGAUCAACUCAAUCAAGCAAAGAUCUAUACCAAAAUAGAUCUACGAGGAGCAUACAACUUAAUUCAUAUCAAAGAAGGAGAUGAAUAGAAGAUUGCUUUUUGAGCUAAUUAUGGAUAUUUUGAAUAUAAUAUCAUGCCUUUUAGACUCACGAAUGCACCGAUUGAUUUUCAACAUCUUAUAAAUGAUGGUUUUUAUGAGUUUUUAGAUGAUUUUGUCAUUUGCUAUUUAGACGGCAUUCUAAUCUACUUUAAGAACACAGAAGAACAUAAACUUCAUAGAUAAUAAUCAAAAGUUCGAGGUAGAAGAAGUCUUAGACUCAAGGCGGCAUCAAAAUAGGUUAGAAUAUCUUCUUCAUUGGCACAAAUAUGAUAUUAGUGAACACACAUGGAAGCCAUCAAAAUAUCUUACAAAUGUAAUAAAGAAAGUUGAAGCUUUUCAUCAAUGAAAUCCAUCAAAAUCAAGAUGAAGAAUAGCAAAUCUCACCUAUAAAAGAAACAAGAUUAAAGAAAGAUUAUAUUCUAUCUUCUAUCUUUCUUUAUAGCUUAUGUACAUUUAAGAUGCUAAGGAGAUGGAGAACCAACAACCAGCAGAUUUAAAUCAAGAGCUUUCAUUUGUAGCUUUACAAUUUUAAAAGUUGGCAGUUUGGGAUUGAGUAGGAUUUUUGUGAUAUCUAGAGAUCUAUCAAUUGGAUCAAGGUAAAUUUGGGCUUGAUCUUGAAGGACUUAAAGAUCAAGUUGCAUACCAAUUUUGAGUUAAAGUUAAUAGUUAAAGAAGGAGAAAUCACUACCAGGAUUUUUGCUUUAUUUUUUAAGUUAACAUCCAAGUGACAUCAAUAUAGUUUUUGGAGGUUUUCUCAUACUCUAUAAGUUGAAUUGGGCUAAAAAUUCUUUAGCGUAUAGAAGACUUAUAUUGAUAAUUGGAUACAAAAUUUUAUAUGAAGUGGAUAGUUAGAUUAGAAGUUACAGCUUAUUAAAGCUCAUUGAUUAAGAUUGGAGCUUAUAAGAAAAAUCUAAAUUCCUUAAAUAUGAAAGUAACAAGGUAAUUGGGAUUUAUAUAUGAUUAUGGAUACUAAAAAGAGUGUGUUUUAGCACUUUUGAAUUGAAAUUUGGAUUAUAUUCUUCUCAUAUGGAUGAAAUCUAUUAGGGUUUCUUAGAUACUUAUGAAACACAACCUCGCCUUCUAAAGCUAGGUGUCUAGUGCAUUCCUAAAUAAGACAACAUGUAAUACGACAAUGUAUCUAUUUUAGAUCUAUAUAAAGUAAUGAAUAUCUUGAGAAGAAGAUAAAUAAUAUUACUUUUUAUAGAAGUAGAUAAUAAUUAAUAAUUUAAGGUGGAAAAAGUCUAAGACUCAAGUCGGCGCCAAUAUAGGUUGAAUUAUCUUAUUCAUUGGUGUAGAUAUGAAAUUAGCAAAUACAUAUGGAAACUACCAAAAAAUCUUAUAAAUGUAAUAGAGAAGGUUAAAACUUUUUAUCAACAAUAUCUAUCAAAACCAAGAUGAAGGAUAUCAAAUCUUUGCUAUAAAAAAAAAAAAAAAAAAAAAAAACCUUAUUUUAUAAAGAUUAUGUUCUACCUUCUAUCCUUAUUUUUAGUUUAUAUAUAAUUGGGGUAUUAAAGAGAUUAAGAAUUAACAACCAACAGAUUUAAAUUAAGAGCAAUCAUUUGCUGUCUUAUCAAAUAAGAUAUUACAAUUAUUAUAAUCUUUAAGAUGACAUAAUAGAGUUGAAGAUCUUUAAAAAUUACAUAUUCUUCAUCAAAUAGAUGAUAAGAUAUAAUAGAUUUGAUAUUACAACCUAAGAAGAGACUUUUGAUCUUUGAUAAUUUUAUUCGAGAUAUACAUGACUUCUGAUGGUAUUUCAAAUUUUUUAUUUGAAAGAAGUUCAAAGGUUUUAACAAUGAUCAAAUAACAUUGUAGUCUUCUUAUCUUAAAAUAGGAUAUUACUGAUAGCUGAGAAGACUUAUCAACUACCUUCAAAGAAAAUAAAGAUCAGAGUAAAUGGCAAAUGUAAUUUGCUACAUUUUAGACUUCUUCAGUAUAUGAUUACUGCUUGUCAUGGAACUUGUUUCUAAAAAGAAGAGUAAUGUCAUGGAUAUAUAUCUAUUGUAAUUAUUAUCUAUAUAAUAUGGAUAGGUAGAACUAGAUUAAAAUAGAUUAAUUUUAUAAUAUCUUCUAGAAAAGCUUUUUAGAUGUUGUUUUGACUUUUUAUGUGUUUGUAAUUGAUUGAUAGGUUAAAAACUUAGUAAAUAAAUUAAUCACGUGCCACAUAUAUUGGUAGCUUACAAAACUAGCUAAUUAUGUAGUAUCCAUAUGAAAAAUUUGCCUUGCAAGAUAAGAUAUGUGUCAUGCAAAUUCAAUACCUUUUUGGAGGUCCUAUAGAACGUCAUGACAUAAUUCUUAUGUAGAUAGUAUAUAUAAAGACAAAAAUAAAGCCUUCUUUACUCUUAUCAACUUCUUUCUUGCUUCAAGUCUAGUUUCAAAAAUCUCUAAUUUUUUUAACCUUUGACAAUAGUUAUUAUAGUUUUUUUUUUUUAAUACAUAUAUUUUUUAAUUUUUAUUUUGUCAUAUUUCUUUGAGAGAGAUUCACUUAUUUAUUUUCUUUCAUCAAAUUCUUGUCUUUAACAACUAUCCACUUAAGAGUUACAUGGCAAUAUUCUAUAGGACUUCCAACAUGUGUUGACUUUACAAAUCACAUGUUUUAACUUGCUAGACAAGUUUUAUGUGUAUAUUUUAUAUAACUAGCUUGUUCCACAAGCUAUCUACUUGUGAGACAUAUGAUUAACUUGUUAAUUAGAUUUUUAACUUAAAAGUCAAUUAUAAACAUGUUGUCAUAUUAUAAUUCGGCUACCAUGUGAAACAAAUGUGUUUAUAUAUUUAAUGUAGAAUUUACUUAGUAAUAUGGUGAGAGCAAUGUUAUUGGAUUAUAGUUGAUUGUAGAAUGUGGUUAAACUACUUCUUUAAAAGGACGUUGUUUAAAUGGAUUACUAUUAAAAUUUGUAAAACUUAAUUUUUUUUUAUAAUGGUUUUCGAAGUUGAUUUGUUGGUAGUAAAUUUAUACAUUUAGAGUCACCUUUGUAAGACAUUGGUUAUCCUUAAAGUUUUAUUUUGGUUCUUUUAUUUGAUAUUCAAGACAUGUAAUAUAUAAAUCUUAUAUAAAAAAGGAUUAAAGAAGGAUUUUAGUAAAAAUAAAGGUAGUUAAGACAUCGAUAUGAAUGAUUGGAGAUAGAUGAUAUAAAUCUUCAUUCUUAUUAGUCAAAUAUCAUGACCAAUGGACUUCAAGGAGGUUGCCCGAGGCCAUAUUAGGAAUUACAAUUAAUCUUUUGGGAGGAUUUUGAUCAUCAAAGCCUAAAGUUAGCAAGUUCAGGUUUUUGGCUAUGGUUUUGGUGUAAAUUUUGAGUCAUUUGGAGUUUUUAUGAAGGAAAUGUAGGCUCUCAAAGACAAGGUAUUAGUUUUGUAUCUACUGUUACUCUUUUGGAUAUAAUGCAUGCGUAUAGAAAGCAAAAAAAAUUGGUGACCAAGGUUGGAAAAAGUACUUUUUUAACUACAAUUUAUUUAUAUUGCUUGAUGAAUUCUAAACUAAGAUGAAAGAGAUAUUAUAAGUUGAAGCCAACACUUAGAAUCUAAGAAGUAGUAAGUGAUUCAAAUUACUAGUAGUUGUGUUUUGAGCUAUAUCUUAUGCAAUUUGAUAAGAUUUUAAUCAAAACUUUUUAAGAAUAAGUUUUUUUCAUGUUAUUAAAUUUUAUACAUAAGUUUUGUGAUAUUUGGAUUUUGUAUUUGUGAAAUAUGAAGAAAAUAGUACUUAGGUGCUUGUAAAUUAGGAUUUGAAGCACCUGCUAGGAUUUUUAAGAUGACAGACGAUUUGUAGCAAAUUUAUAGUUGAAUUUUUUUGGAAUAAUAUUUAAGGAUAAAUUCUAUAUCAUUUAUAAAUUUGACAAAAAUUGAAUAAUUUGAUGAAGAGAUAUAAACUUUUGAAGUUCAAAAAAAAAUAUUUUAUUUGAAGGAAGUAAUAUAGGCCUUAUCAAGGAGCAAAUAACAAGGUAGUCUUUUCACCUUGGGUUGAGUCACUAUCAAUGGCUGAAAGGAUCUAUCAACUAUCUUCAAAGAGAGCAAAGAUUAAAGUAUGUAACAAAUACAAUUCGCCACAUCUUAGACUUCUUCAAUAUAUGAAAACUGCUUUUCAUGGAACUAUGCUUUAGAAGGAGGGAUAAUAUCAUAGACAUAUAUAUUAUUUCAAUAAUUAUUUAUAUGACUAGAUAGAAGUAGAUAAUUAUAGAUUAAUUUCAUAAAGUCUUUUAGUGAAGCUUCCUGAAAGCUUCAUAGACGUGGUUUUGAUUUUAGAUGUAUUUGUAGGUCAAAAACUUUGCCAACAAAUUAACCACCUGUUGUGAGCUUGUGGAACAAGUUAACUCUGUAUAAUAGCUUGUGGAACAAGUAAACUAUAUCGUGCAUAUAUAGAUUACUUGCCUUGUAAGUAAAAACAUGUAACUAAUAAAGUCAACAUGUUUUAAAGGUCUUAUAUAACAUUGUCAUAUAACUCCUACUUAAGAAUAUAUAUAGAAGCAAGAUUGAAGCAUUCUUCAUUCUAAUCAAUGCGUUCUAGUCCUUAGUCUUGUUUCAAGACUUUUCAAUCUUUUUGUUUUUGGCAAUAGCCAUUCUAGUUAAUAUUAUAUUAUCUUUAGAAUGACUUUCUAGUUAUCUUUAGUAAAAAAAGACUGUAUCGAGGAUUCUCUUUCUUUGAAAUUCAUAUCCUUGACAUUCUUCAAGAAGGUUGUUUGCAAGAUGCUUGAUAUUAAAAAUAAGAGGGUUCAUAAUUGAGGCUUUACGAAUCUGAUCAAGAAAUGAUAUAUCUAUAAAUAUUGAUACAUUGGUUGCUCAAAGAUGAAAUUGCUCAAGCUUUAAUAAGGUUGCUUAUUAUUAAUCAUAUGUUAUCUCACUUUUUUUUGGUUCAAGGUAGGAACAUCUUGAUAAUACAUCUGAUAACCUUUGUUUGUUCUUGAAUUGAUACAUGAUGCAAAAGUGAAAUCAUGAUAAAGAUAUCUUCUAAUGCGCUUGGCAAUAGUUCAAGAUUUGGGUUGACUUGAAAUACUCAAGAUUCUUGUGAUCUUUAUAUACUGUCACUUGGUGAGAGGCACCUUAAAGAAAGUGGCGCCAUUCUUAGAAAGAAUCUAUGAUGGCAAGCAACCUCUACUAUGAAUUUUGUAGUUAGUUUCUAUUCCUAAGAAUUUUCUAGAAUAAAAUGCAAUUGGGUGAAGUUUGCCAUCUUUUCUAUAUUACAAUAAAACUGCUCCCAAUACAAAGUCUGAGGCAUUGGUCUCCAUAAAAUAGGACUUAUUGAAAUUUAGAUGUAUCAAAAUUGGAGUUAUUAUGUAAGCAUCUUUUAAGCUUUGAAAAUCUUUCUUUGCUUCGGGACCCGAGUCCAACUUAUCUUUGCAUGUCAAUUGCAUGAGUGAAGUAGCAAUCUUGAAAUAAUUCUUAAUAAAAUCCUUGUAGAAGCUUAUAAAUUCAAGAAAGCAUUAAAAAUUAUGUACCAUUUUUGGUUUUUUCCAAUCAAUGAUUGCUUAUACUUUCUUUGGAUCCAUAAAAAGGCCUUUAUUAGAAAUAAUAUAUUCAAUGAAUUUGACUUGAGAUGCAUGAAAUAUAUAUUUCUCUAGUUUUGUACAUAAUAUAGCACUUUGUAGCUUUUUCAAUACAAAGCGGACAUGUUUUUUAUGGUGUUCUAGAUUCUUGGAAAAGAUUAGAUAUCAUCUAAGUAGAUCACAACAAAUUUGUCGAGAUGCUCGCAAAAUAUGUCAUUUAUUAAGUGUUGGAAUAUGGCUGAUAUAUUAAUAAGUCCAAAAAGCAUGACAUUGUAUUCUAAAUGUCCAUACCUAGUACAAAAUGAUGUCUUCUAUUCAUCUCCUUCCUUACUGCAUAUGAAAUUAUACAUUGUCAGAAUAGAGAGAAUUUGCCUCAAAAAAAUACUAGGCUCUUGGUUGUCACUAAUUGCUCAAUCAAGUCUCAAGAUAAGAAAGACCAAGAAUAUAUAUAUAUAUAUAUAUAUAUAUAUAUAUAUAUCACUUUUAAGAGCUAUUAUACCAAACAUAUAAGUCUUAAGUUUCCAAAAACAUCCAAAAGAUGAUAAAAAAAACUCUAAAUCCUAAUAUAUCCUUAUGGAGUACUAUUUCCAAACUUCAACAACUCAUUUUCUUAAUUGGACCAUUCAAACACCUUUAAAUUUUAUAUGAAGUAAUGAUGUAAUUUUAACAAAUAAUACAACAAAUUUCAAUUGCAAAUUCAUUGCAAAACUUAAGAUAUUACCAAAAUCCUAAUAAUAGCUUCAAAUCCUAGUUUUUAUAGCUCUAUAUAUAAUUUUCUUCAUAUCUCACAAACUAAGUAUUUAAAUGCUACAAAAGUUUUAUGUAUAUUUUUUUAAUACAUUAAUCCAUAUUUUUUAAAAGAUUUGAGUCAAAAAUUUGUCUAAGAACUCAAGAUAUGGCUCCAACCAUUACUAUGAAUUAAAUCACUUACUUACUGCUUUUGAUUUGGAUGCGCUAACUUCAACUCUUUAUAAUUUCUUUAUUUGAAUUAUAAAUAUAAAAAUUCAUUCAUAUAAGAUUUAAAUCAUAAAACCAAUUUUCUAAUUACACCAUUUGAUCUCAAAAAAUUGCCAUAAAACUCUACACAUGCUCAAAAGAGUAAUAGUAUAUCUUAAAAUGAUAUCUUAACUUCAAAUGGCUAUAAUUUCUUCACCCUAACUCCAAAUUCACUAAUUUUUGCAUCCAAAUUAUAGCUCAAACUCUAAACCUUAAUAAACUAGCAUUUGAUUUUCAAAUUUUCCUCUGAAGUUUCCAAAAACUCUUCUUAUGGUUGCAAACUGCCUCCUAAAAGCCUAUUGGGUAUGGCUUUUGAUCCAUAGGGAUGUAGAUUUCCAUUCCUUGCCUUCAUUCGACCAUGCCUUGCUUUUAGCCUUCCUAAUAAGCCUCCUAUUAGUUUAGAUUUUCAUCUUUAGGUUCUAAUCUCUUCUUAAGGCUUCAUACUAAAUAUUUAGGUCCUAUAAUUUUUUAAAUGCCAUAACCAAAAUAGAUAAAAUUUAAAAUUAAGUUUCUUAUAUCCACUCUCUUUAAAUUAAUCUAUUAACCAUUUUAACACACACCAAGAUUUAUGAACAUAUUAUAUGUUCUAAUUAAUUUUUAUAUACUAAAAGUAAUUGUAGUAUGACUACACCCCUCAUAGAUUAAUCUUUGUAAAGAUCUUUAUUUAGCUAAAUUGAUCAAGAAGUCUAGAUAUCAACGAAAAUGGAUAUCAAUUUUUUUAUUAUGAUUUUAUUAAGACUGCAAUAAUCAACACACAUCCAUAAAGAUCCAUCUUCAUUUUCACAAAUGAUAUCAAAGUACCAAUUGGUAAUUUAGAAUGUUGAAUAAAAUUCUUAGCCAGAUUUUCAUCAAUGUAUUCCUUUAAAGUCGCAAGCUCAUUCUAGAAUAAAUUGUAGAUGAGUUCAAAUAAUGGUUGAACACCUUCUUGAAGGUCAAUCAUACAAUUAUAAGGGUGAUGCUUCGAUAGGAUGUCCACAUUUUUCUUUUUAAAUAUAUAUAUCUGCAAAAUCCUUUUACGCCUCUGAAAUUAUUGUUGUAGCAACCAUAGGUUUUGAUUAUAGAUUUGCAUAGACAACAAAUGUAGUGCCGUGUUUGGCCACCGUUAUAAAUGAUCUAGCUCCAAUAAAUAAAUAUUAUUUAAGUUUUGGCUUAACGGGUGUUGGAAGCUUUUUCAUAGAUCUAGGAGUUUUAUGAUCUACUAGAAAAAAUUCUAACUUUUGAGAUAUUCAAUCUAUAUGUGGAUUGUAUUUUUCAAGCUAUGAGAGACCUAAAAUGACUAAACUUGAUGAUAAUCUAAUGGUGUUGAAUACUACUUGGUUGCUAUAGUUGUCAAAGGUUAUUUCUAAUAGAAUUGUCUCAUGAGUGACGUCUCCAAAGGAUAAAGGUCGACCAUCUAUUACUUCUACAUGUAUGGCUUUGGAUUUUUGAUAUACAAAUUUUGUGUGAUCUAGAAAAUUCUUUGUCAAUAAAAUAUGUAGAGGCUUCCAAGACACGUAGUGAAUGACACUCUAGUUUUGUGACUCCUAACUGUACAUGUAUAAUAAAUCAAUGGAAAAGACUAGCAAAAAAUAUAAGAUCUUUUUUGAUUUGUGAUAGUAAAGAAUCCAACUGCAUGGUUUCUACUAUGGCUGAACACCUUCAUUUUCCUGAAGAGCUUUUGAUAACAUGGCUGUACUUCUCAUUUGAUAUGUUUGCUAAUAUUUCUGUGAACAAUUAUUAAUCUUGUGGUUAAGUUUUCUACAAUAUAAACAUAGGCCAAGUUCUAUUUGAUAUAUAUUUUUUUUUGUUUAAAAAGAGGUUUGAAGUAAACUACAUCAAAUUAUAUAUCUUUUACUUCCAACUGCUCAUUAUAAUUAGACAGUGAAGAAGCUACAUAAUAAUUGGUGUAUACAUGUGGUAUAACUGAAGAACAUUUAUCUUGUUGUCGUUGAAGUAAAUAAUUAUCGCACUUCACACCUUGACUAAUGGCUUCAUUGAGUGUUUGAAGAUCUAGCAUAGACAACAAUAAGUCCUUGAUAUCAUUUCUUAAUCUCCAAUGAAAUUGGCUUAUCAACACAUCUUCUCUCCAAUUUAUAUUACAUGCUAAUUGUCAAAAUUUUGAGGCAUAUGUUAAUGCAGAAUACAUUUUUUUGCCAAAGGCUUUGAAUUUUAGUUAUUGGAGAAUGAACCUUAUCAAGUUUACUAAAUGCUUCUGUAAAUGCUAUAAAAAAAUACUUCAAAAUUGUGUAAUAUAAGAGAAUUAUUUUCAAAUAAUGGAGUAAACUUAGAUAAAGCUUGACAUGAUAAUAAGAUUCUAAUUGAACCAAUACGAGAUGCUUUAAUAGAAUAUUGUUGAGGUUGAAGUAAGGUAAUUAGUUGUACUUAGUUUACAAAGCUACAAAAUUAUGAUUGGAUGCCAUUGAACUUUUUUAGAAGGUUGAUCCUUGGUUCUUUUUUUUGUUAUUGUUGUCAGAUCAUUGCUUUGAGCAAAUGCACCUUCUAUGUUUCAUAAAGCAGAUAUAGUCAAUUAAGAAUUUAGAAUCUUUAUGACUAUUUGAUGUGGUGGUUGAGGCACUCCACCUCUUUGACCAUUAUAUAUGGUCAUAUAUAAUUCUUCAUUCUGCUUCAAUAAAAUCUCUCUCUUGAUCUUCAAUGCUUCAAGAGGAUUAAUAAUAGAAUCUAACUUGAUCUCUUAGGAGUUUGUCAUAUUGAUUUUUUCACCUUUUGCCAUAAAAAAUCAGAAAAAUACACAUUUUAAAGAAGAAAAAAAUAACCAAAAAACCAAAAAUAAUAAAAAAAAAACUAAAAAAAUAUUAAAAAAAUAAUAAUAUUAAUCUAGAAAAGGAUAAUUUUUAACUUCUAGAAUGUUAUAGUACUUCUAAGAAGCAAAGUAAUCCACUCUCUAUCAAGAAAGAUUAAGCUUCUAAUAUUAUUUUAUUGUAGUCUCGAUAAAUUAUUAAGGACCACAUAUAAGAUAAGGAUUUAAGACAAAGAAAUGGAAUUAGCUUGAUAUUAAAACAAUAACUUGAUACAAGGCAAGGAGGUCUUGGCUAGACUACAAGAAUUGAGUUGUCAAGACUAAGGAUCCUCUUAGUCUUAACUCCUAUAUAUACUAGGUCCUAGAAAGCUUCUUGAGAAGUUUUCAUGAGGCUUGGAAGCAAAGCAAGCUUAAGAUCUUUCUUCAAAAACUUCCUGAAUCAUCUAAAGCCUCUUAGAACCUUUCAAGAUCUCCUAUCAUCUUCUAAAACUUUCUUAGAAUCUAUUAGAACUUUUUGGAACCUUUUUAGUACCUACUCGAAUCUUUUAGGAUCUAUAAGAAUCUUCUAAAAAUUCUUAGAACCUUCUCAAUCCUUCUUCAUUUGUAUGUUUGUAAUAUCUAUUGUAUUAUAUUUUAAUCAAUGAUUCACAAUACUUAAGAAAAAUAGGACAUUGUGAUUUAUUCAAGAUAUACAAGCAAUAAAUAAGAUAACUUUUAAAAUUAUGGAUUCAAAUCCAAAUGUGGAUUAGUUUGCAAAGGCAUUUGUAAAGAAAGCAAUUUAUUCUAUGGAAGAUUUUUAUUCAGGAUAUGAUCAAUUUCAAUUGGCAAUAUGAAGUAGAGAUUUGACAAUUAAAAAAAUACCACUAGGAUUAGUCAAAAUGUAUAUAUUACCAAAAGGGGCUACAAAUUUUGUGGCAUGUAUGAUGAAUGGGAUGCGUAAGGUAUUAAGGGUUUUUAUUUAAAGAAUUAUAAUGUUUUUUUCUACAUAAUGUGCUAAUUAAAAAUUGUGAAGAAGAAAGAAAAGAUAAAGUAUUGGAUUCAAAAGAAUGCAAGAAGUUGGUAGCGGAUCAUAUUAAUGAUUGUGAAAAGAUUUUGAUAAGAUUAGAAGAAGUUUAUUUAACAUUAUUGAACAUAAAAUAAUAUUUGGAAUAAAAAAAAUAUUGAUAGAAUGGUAUAUACAAAGAUGUAGCAAAUUUUGUAGGAUGUUGUGAAACUUGCUAAGUAAAUUCAAAUAUUUGUCAUUGAGAUGGAUUAUAUCUAAUAUAUCUUUUAGAUUUAUAUUACAAGAUGGUGAUAGAUUUAGUGGCAAUCCCUAUGAGACUUAAACAAAUGAAGUAUUUGAUACUUGAAUGAGAAGAUUUAUCAAAUAUGGUUGGAUGACAAGCAUUAAAAACAAAGGAUGCUAGAGAUGUAUGCUGAUUUUUAUUAGAAGAUCUUAAUUUUUGUUAUGGUUGUAUUAAAAAAAAUAUAUCUAAUAGAGAUAAAGAGAAGUACAAGAUUUUUUUGAUAGAAUAGGAAUUAAGCUUUCUUUAACAAUAGCAUAUAAUCUAGAAGGUAAUGGAUAAGAGAGAGCGUUGAUAUUCACAUAUUAUUAAGGCAUUAGUAAAGGCAUGCAGUGACAAAGCAUAUGAAUAUUCUAGACUAGUACCAUUUACAUUAUAGGCUAAUUGAAUAAUCCAUAGUUUAGUAAUACAUUAUAUGCUUUUUGAAUUAAUAUAUGAAAAAAAAUCAAUAAUGCCAAUAGAAGAAAUAGUGCCUAUAUAGGAUGUAUUAUCUUGGAAGAAUUAUUUCAAUAAAAAAGAAAUUUUAGCAUUAUGGAUUUAACAAUUAGAAAGAAGAUCUAAUGAUAUUUAAUAAAUAAUAGAAAAUUUGAAAGAAGCAAGAAAAAAAAUAAAAAAAAGGUUUGUUAAAAAACAUUGACUACGACCUAACAUAAUUGAAGAUGGCAAUUGGAUGUUAGUUUAUGAUAAUAACUUAGAUAAUAAAUAUACUACAAUAAGGAAGUUUGCAAAGAUAUGGUUUGGACCUUAUGUUGUCAAACAAGUAUAUGAAAAUGAAACAUACUUGUUAUAAAAACUUGAUAGUACAAAAUUAAAGAUACUUAUAAGAAGCAAAAAAAUUAAGUUAUUUAAACAAAGAAGUGAAGACAUUUAUUUUAAUGAAGAAUGAAAUCAUUACAAGACAUUGAGAUGGAAAUAGAAGAGAAAAUUGAAGAUAAAAAAUUUAACCAAGAAGAAGAAAACUCUGUAUCAAUGUAAUAAAGUAAAUUUGGCACAAACUUGUAGAUGUAC